AAUAAUAUUAUUAAAAUGCACAUUUUAAAAGAAUUAAAUUAACUUCUGUUUUCAUUGGUGACAUCUCCUAUCUUAAUUAAAUUUUAUCAUCCUUAAAAUUCUAUUUGUUACCGUCUUAAUUGGUAUCACAAGCCUUAUGACUGCUAAAUACAAACUACUGAAAACUUUUGAGUGCCAUUGAAGUUGAAGAAAAGAUAAAUGAGUUUAUGUUUCUUAAGGAUGAAUCUCUUACUUUGGAUCAUAAUCAAUUAAGGCAUAAGAACGUUAAGAUAUUCACGAGGGAUAUCCAUGAAGACAACGUCGAACCUGAAGAAUCGAAAGAUGAACGUUCAUGGAACUCUAAAGUGAUGGAUAUGAAUGAAGACGAAGUUUAACUAGAAAGUGAUGGUCUCGAGCACCAUGCGAGUGACCUUUCAGCAGCGAACACCAAUGGAGUGUCACAACCAGAAGAAUACUUUUCAUCACUUAAUUUGUAUCUGUUACUUACCACCAAAUGUAUCACAUCAAUCCAAUAUUCAGAAAUGUAUUUGUUUCCAAUGCCGCUAACCGUCCUCCAGCUGUUUGAUGAAAUGCCAAAGGGUCAUAUAGCUGUUUGGAAUGAACAAUGAGAUGGAAAAUGUUACUUUUGAUUUGUCUAAAUACCUAAUUUUGAUAUGUAUUGCUCCUGGAGUUUUUAAAUUUUGGAAGGCAUGAACAUGUUGUGGUAAAUUCUCCUGUCAUUAUAUCUUUAUUGAUGAACGGUAACUGUGCUCAAAGAGACGAAUCUCUUGGUGAAGGAGAUUUGGUUGUCCAUCAAUAUCAUUUCAUUAUCUUGCUUUUGGUAUGAACAUUCCCUUAAUUGGGGAAUGACAAAAUUGUUUGUAAAGACGGCGCUCACACUUUGAUGAAGUGGGUAUUGUCACUUCAACGGUGCAGGUGGAAGCACAAUCCUUCACUUUUUCCUAAUUCCCUAUAAUGGAUGCUUGAUCCUUAAGAUCACCACUUGUAAGCUCUGUUGCACCAGCACUUCUGAUUGAAGGCGUGUCCCAGUGUCCGACAAGUGUGGUGUCAGACACUGACAAUACACCGACACUUGUGAUUACAGUGAAUUAUGUCAUUAUCUCAAAAUUUGAUCGGUGUUGACGUGUCCGUGUUAGUGUCGUUUCCGGUGUCUGUGUCCAUGCUUCAUAGCUUGUAAGGAAUUACAACUCCAUUCUCCACCAUGCAGGUAUGUUAUGGGCUUUCAGUUUUGUGCACCUAAUGAUACUUCCCUCAAAUCUAUUGCUUACACCAAUUAUGACCAUGAUAUUGAGACCCAUUGUCAUAUUGCUGCCCAACUUCUCUGUUUUUGGUGGUGGAAGGGAUUAAUGCCAAUACACUUUUCACUUUCUCUACGAAUGUUGGAACAAUACUUGUGGAAGAAGUCUUGUCUGCAUCUAUGAAAAAAUUUGUUGGAAACAUGGUUGCUGUGUUAAUGCAUCUUGAGUUUUAUUCCUUGACGAGGCGGGAUCUGAAUAUAAAAUGUAUUCUCCAGUAUCAUGAAGACACUAUGACGUUUAUUUCAGAUUUAAAGGCUUUGAAAUUCUUAUCUGAAAGUUCUGCCAGGAUAAUUAAAGAUGCUUUUAGAACCAUGUGGCUCAAAAAUUGGCAAAAUCCAAAUGCAUGUUCCAUUAAUCUUGUGUUGAGCAUUGGUUUUAUCAUUUUAGCCACAAGUAAUGGAAAACAAAAACCUUGUUACAUGCUACAAAAUGGAUCAGAUUCACACAUCUCUACUAUUUUGAAACUGCACUGUUGUGAGGCACUGCCAAUCUCCAUUGGAAUCACACCAGACCAACCUGCCUGUGCUGAAGUUCAAAGUGUAGGUUCUAUUGCUGAUGUUGCACUAAAUUUUAACAUGCUGGUGAAAAAUUAUGGACUUGUGAUGCUUGGGAAUAAAAUUUUAUGCAUAGUUGAUAAGUUUGACCAUGAUGGAUAUAUGGAUGUGGCAGAAAGAGUAAUUCAAAUUUAUGUAAAAUGGUCAAAUAUAUGUGCAGCAGCCCCCUUUAACUGAGGGAUAUUUGCUAAUCUUUCAAGAAACAAAGUUGGUAGCUGUGUUACAUAGGAAAAUGGUUGAUAGGGGAACUAUUGUUGUUUCUCAAAUUAUGUUCAAAUGGAGGAAUUUGCCUCCUAAACAUGGUACUUGAAGUUUGCUGCUAAUAUUGACCCUGUUAUGGCUAUUCUACAUCGGAAAAUGAUCAAUUGGGGAAGUGUCUCUGCUCUUAAAGUUCUAAUCAAAUGGAAAACUUUGCCUCUUAAACAUGGCACUUGUGAUUAUUCAUCCUUGAGGACGAGGAUGUUUGAAGGGGAGGGUAUUGUUACAGGAAUGAAGUAUUAGUAAACAAGUAUUAGUGAGUUAACUUAUUCUAAGUAUUUGUUUUACUCUAAAUCAUUUACUCUUUUAGCCUUGAUGGUUGUAUUUAAGAAGGCAUUGGGCCUCAUUUGGUAAUCAAUCAAAUAUUUCAACAAUUAUCUUCUUCUCUCUAAAACCCUAAAACUCAUUCAAUACUAUUCUCAUAUGAUUUCUCUUAUGUAUCGAAUUCUAUUCUAAAUCAUUAGAAUUCAUACACUUGAGACUUGAAAUUUUUAGUUUCAGGGAUCAAUUUAGAAGUAUGAGUAUCAUGUUGAAUGGAAAAUUUGAAAUUAAUCAUUGCAUUCGUUGGUAUCGUAUGAAGUCGUCUAUGAAGAUUAUGAUGUUUUCAAUUUUCAGGCUUAUUCUAUGCAUCCCGAUAACUUAAUCUUAUAUGUGCAUAUACUGAAUUAUUGAAGUGUCCAAGAAAAUAGAACGACUGAAGGAGAAAAGAUGAAGAGCUUGUCCGAGUCUUUAGCACAAACAGAAUUUCUGAAGAUAUUUAGUGGUUGGUUUAUUGCAUUUGAAAGUUUUUCAGGUUAUUUCUUUGUUUACCCUUUGAAUCUCUAUGAUAUUACUGAAUAAUAAUUGUAGUCUCGUUCAUCUACUCAAAAUAGAUGCAAACUUGAAUACGUAAAAGUAUAUGCAAAAUCAGAAGAAAAGAGUUUAAUGAAAAAAAGCUUUCAUGUAUCUAUUAAAUUAUCUACUCAAUCAUGAUUUCACUUUUCAGAUAACAAACUCUCUUAAAUCAAUUUUAACAAAAUCUAACACAAUACAAAAUCCAAACGGACCAAUUAAGCACCAAUUUCAUGUGCCUUUUGAAAUCAACGACCACCAGAGAGAACAGAUUCAGCAAUAGACACAGAAGUAUAUGGCACUGUCUUGUCCUCAACAAGUUCUUGGUGCCCAAAAGUUAAUCCAUAGGAAGAUAAACUAAGCAAUGACAAAUCUGGUAAAGGUAAAUCCCUCUCCAAAUACUGCACAACUUGUCUCAUACUUGGUCUAGCCAAAGGCUCUGAAUGUGAACACAUCAAGCCAAGUUUCAACACCAAUUCCACCUCUUCAGACACAUAAUUUGUUCCUAAAUAUACAUCUUUAGCCUCAAGAAUUUCACCUCUUUUCAAACAUUCAAACACAUGAUCAACUAGAACUAGACUCUCAUUCUCUCCUACACGACCUAUAGGCCUCCUACCACAAACAACCUCAAGAAGAAAUGCACCAAAAGAAAACACAUCAGAAAAUUUAGUAGCCUUACCUGUUCUAAUAUGAUCAGGAGCAAGAUAACCAAAAGUUCCAACCAAAUGAGUAGUGUGAGGAUCAGCACCAUGAUCAUACAACCUUGAAAGACCAAAAUCUCCCAAUCUAGCAUUAAAUUCAGAAUCUAACAACACAUUACUAGCUUUUAUGUCUCUAUGGAUAACAACUUUCUCCCAUUCUUCGUGAAGAUAAACCACAGCUGAAGCAACACCUUUGAUGAUUCUAAAUCUUUGACUCCAACUCAACCUCACUUUUGGUUGGUUGUAUAGAUAGUUGUCUAAACUUCCAUUCGGCAUGUAAUCAUAAACCAAAAGUAACUCGCUUUUUCGCCUGCAAUAGCCAUAAAGUUGAACAAGAUUCCUGUGCCGAAGACGACCGAUACUAACAAUUUCCGACACAAAUUCCCUCAUCCCUUGUCUUGAUUCAUGAGACACCCUUUUCACAGCAACCUCAAGUUUGGAACUUGGCAUCACACCUUUGUAUACUCUACCAAAUCCACCAACUCCCAAUAGCCCCUUUUCCCUGAAACCCUUUGUGGCAAAGUAUAGAUCUUUGAACUUAAAUCUAUGUGGGCCAUAUUCUUGUUCCCAAUCUUCAAGAAUCUCAGAAAACUUCUUCCGUUUGAUAUAAUAAAUAACCCCUAAAGUUAUCAUGAAUACCAAACUUAGGAAAAUUAAAGGCAACCCAACAGUUGAAAUUUUUGACUUUUUUUUAUAAGGAAAUUGAGAGAUUACAAGGUUUUGAGCUUGACCAUUAACCUUAAAACUCCAACCAAGAAUAUAAUGAGAAGCUGCAAGUAACCCUGUUGAAGAUGAGAAUCCAACAUACAUACUAUUGUUAAGAAUUGGAGAAAGAUCUUUGGUCAUUGAUAACGAAGGUCCUGUUGGUUUAACAACAUAAACUGGAGCUAAAGUAACAUCAAUCUUUUUCUUCACUCCAUCAUAAUCAAUCCAUACCUGUAUAGGAUUUCCACUGGAAAGGUCUACUGUUCUGAUUUGACCAUGAUCAUCGUAAUAGGCUGCAGUAGUUGAGACAACUGAUUUCAGAUCAUUGAUAUUAAUACCAUCGUGGUUAUUGUCAACAUCACCAAACUCAAAAUCUUUAGAAGUGUCAAGUUCAACACCAAAAACAUGGUUGCCACUGUUUCCAUUGUUGGAAUCAUUAAAGAGACCAAGGUAUUGAUUUGGUAGUGAAUUUGGUAGCCCUUUUGUUGGAGAAAGAACAAAAACAAUUCCAUGGCCAGUAAAAGGUGGAUAUUGAGGUAUUAUGGCAAAUACAAAAGUAGUUGAGAAAGAAGACACACUUUCACUGGAAGUGUUUUUGAAAACUAUUGGAUUUGGAUAGAAAGCAUGACCUAUUACUUGUUCUGUAUCAUUGGUGAGUCUUAGUAUGCCAUCUGAGGUUAACUCAGCAAAACCAUCAAGAUAUAAAUGUGAUGAUUGGAAUCCAUUAUAGAUGAAACUGUUAUCUUCACUUGCUACUAAUGUAACAUGAAAAAACAACAUAAACACAAGUUUGAGGAACAUGAUUAUAGUUUGAGAAUGAAUAAUGCUUGUGUAGUUCUGUUCGGUGUUUAUUAUUUAUAAGAUUUUGUCCUAAGUGAAGAAAAAAUUGCAAGUCUAAUUUGGGUCCUAGUAAGAAAUGUCCUGGAACAUAACUUAGCUACGAAUCAUUUCUAAAAGAAACAUCACAUGACAUGGUUACUAAAAUUGCCUUUAUCAUCUGUGAGUCCUACUAAGAAAUAUCUCAUUUAGUUUAGUAAAAAUGAAUGUGUUACACAUUUGAACCACAAAUUUUCUUUCCAAUUGUAGUAGUGGGUAAAUGUUUUUCAAUGUUUACAUAUUAAGUGUUUGAUGCUAAAUUGAAUAUGUGAAAUCAAGACAUCAGUGUUGUCUAAUAUUCCAGCUCAAAUUAGAACAGACUUUUUUAGAAAUAGGAUGGAUUUACCUUAUUUUAGAUUUUGCUGAGUUUCUUAAAUUCCCUCUUUUGUUUGUAUUUUGGUUUUUUCUAAUAUAUUUUAUGGAGCUUGCUUCCCUGGCAAGUUUCCUUUGUUUAAAAAAAGAAGCUUAUUUUGUGCUAAAACUUUAAAAAACUGUCAUUUGGUCUAUAUAUCUAAUCUAUCUAUAUAAUCUUAAUUGCCUGAAUUUUGGUUAGCCCUUCCAGCCAUAACAUCCAUUUAUUUAUUUUUUUUGUAUGAAAGUGCACUUGAAAGGAGAGGAAUUUUUAACGUGAGAGAUGAGAGCAAUCAAUAACAGCCGUUAGAUUAACAUUAACUCUUCAGAUAAUUUUUUUGUUUAAUUUCAACAUCCCUCCUAUGUUGUCUCACCCACGCGCUCAUUCUGCUUCUCUCUGCACUCUUGGUUUCACGUCCCGUCUCCUCUGAUUUCGUUUAGCAAUGGAAAUAUGGAAUGAAAAUUACUCUAAAAAUUAACAUAAGAAAUUAAUUGUUGCCUGUCUCCUCUGACGAACACGAAUUUUCUAUGAACCUUCUGUUUCAAGUUGAAACAGUAACAAUAUAACAAUGAUAAGCACUUUCCUUCACCGCCAGAGGUGCAUUGGUGCCGCUCAGAUUGAGCAAUCUGCAAUUUUGAUGCCAUUCAAAGGCAAUUUGGAUUCAAAUGCGAACCAGAGUCAAAUCCUCAACAACCUUUCCUUGCCAUAAGCAGGGCUUCAAGAACUUUACAUCUUCAAUGCCGCAAAUGCAAUUUACUCUCAAAUUGGUAAAGGUAUUCUUUACCUAGGGCUUUGGUCAGUUUACUCUCAAAUUGUUUCAAACAAACUAAUGUGGUUGAAUUAUUUAAUUUCAGGGAUCAUUUAAGAAGUAUGAGUAUUAUGAUAAAUGGAAAAUUUGAAAUUCGUCACUGCAUUUGGGCUCAUUCUAGGCAUCCUGAUAACUUAAUCUUAUAUGUGCAUAUGCAGAAUUACUGAAGUAUCCAAUAAAAUAAAACGAGUGGAGGAGAAAAGAUGAAGCAUUUGAAGUUAUCUAGUGGUUGGCUUAUUGCAUUUGAAGGUUAUUUCUUUGUUUACCUUUUGAAUUUACUGAAUAAUAACUGUAGUCUCGUUCAUCUACUCAAAAUAGAUACAAACUUGGACGCAAUAAAGUAUAUACAAAAUCAAAACAAAAAAAGUUUAAUGAGAAAAUGCUUUCAUGUAACUGGGGAUGAAAAUGGGCUAGGCAGGUCCGGGCUUUGUAAGGCCUAAGCCUUGCCUACUUCAAAAAUUAUAAGCCUGGGCCUGACCUAUUACCCAUCAUAGGCUCAUUUUCAAGGCUUGGCCUGGUCUUUUUAAAGGUCUAAUGAAGCCUGGAAGUCUAUUUUACACUAAGGCCUAGCAACACCUCUAAGCCUACUACGAAAUAGGCCAAAACUUAUGAAGGCCUAACGCACACGAAUAGGUCUACUACUAAAUAACGAAAUCUUACAAGGUCUAAUCACACCAAUAUAUCUGCUACUAAAUAACCAAAUUGUAUGAAGGCUUGAGUAUGAAGAAAAAAAACUUCAACAAUAUCAAUAAUGGAAGAUAUAUUAUAUAUUAAAAGCUUAAUAGACUUUUUUCUAAGCCUUAGUCUGACCUAUUUAAUUAAAUGAGCUUUAUUAAAAGCUUGAGCCUGACCUUUACAUUAAAUGAGCUAGGCCGUGCUUGGCCGAACUAUGCUUUAAAUAGGCUAGGCCGUAGGUCCCUGUCGGAUGACCUGGCCUAUUCUCAGCCCUACAUGUAACUAUUAAACUAUUUUCUCAAACAUGAUUUCACUUUUCAGAUAACAAACUCUCUUUAAUCCAUUUUACCAAAAUCUAACACAUUACAAAAUCAAACCAAAUCAAUCAAGCAUCAAUUUCACGUGCCUUUUGAAAUCAACGACCACCAGAGAGAACAGACUCAGCAAUAGACACAGAAGUAUAUGGCAUUGUCUUGUCUUCAACACAUUCUUGGUACCCAAAAGUUAAACCAGAAGAAGAUAAACUAAGCGAAGACAAAUCUGGCAAAGCUAUAUCCCUCUCCAAAUACUGCACAACUUGUCUCAUACUUGGUCUAACCAGAGGCUCUGAAUGCAAACACAACAAGCCAAGUUUCAACACCAAUUCAACCUCUUCAGACACAUAAUUUGUUCCUAAAUAUACAUCUUUUGCCUCAAGAAUUUCACCUCUUUUCCAACAUUCAAACACAUAAUCAACUAGAAUUAGACUCUCAUUUUCUCCCACACGACCUAUAGGCCUCCGACCACAAACAACCUCAAGAAGAAAUGCACCAAAAGAAAACACAUCAGAAAAUUUAGUAGCCUUACCUGUUCUAAUAUGCUCAGGGGCAAGAUAACCAAUAGUUCCAACCAAAUGAGUUGUGUGAGGAUCUGCACCAUGGUCAUACAACCUUGAAAGACCAAAAUCUCCCAACCUAGCAUUAAAUUCAGAAUCUAACAACACAUUACUAGCCUUUAUGUCUCGAUGAAUUACAACUUUCUCCCAUUCUUCGUGUAGAUAAACCACACCUGACGCAACACCUUUGAUGAUUCUAAAUCUUUGACUCCAAUUCAACCUCACUUUUGGUUGCUUGUAUAGAUAGUUGUCUAAACUUCCAUUUGGCAUGUAAUCAUAAACCAAAAGUAACUCCCUUUUUCGCCUGCAAUAGCCAUGAAGUUGAACAAGAUUCCUGUGUCGAAGACGACCGAUACUGACAAUUUCCGACACAAAUUCCCUCAUCCCUUGUCUUGAUUCAUUAGACACCCUUUUCACAGCAACCUCAAGUUUGGAACUUUGUAUCACACCUUUGUAGACUCUACCAAAUCCACCAACUCCUAGUAGACCCUUUUCCCCGAAACCUUUUGUAGCAAAAUAUAGAUCUUUGAACUUAAAUCUAUGUGGACCAUAUUCCUGUUCCCAAUCUUCAAGAAUCUCAGCAAACUUCUUCCAUUUGAUAUAAUACAUAAUCCCUAAGGUUAUCAUGAAUAACAAACUUAGCAAACUCAAAGGCAACCCAACAGUUAAAAUUUUUGACUUUUUUUUAUCGUCAAGUAUUCUUAGCUCAGGAGCAAAUGUUCUUAGCUCAGGAAGUUUAGAGAUAUCAAGGUUUUGAGCUUGACCAUUAACCUUAAAACUCCAACCAAGAACAUAAUGAGAAGAUAGAAUAGAACCUGUUGAAGAUGAGAAUCCAACAUACAUACUAGUGUUAAGAAUUGGAGAAAGAUCUUUGGUGAAUGAUAACAAAGGUCGUGUUGGUUUAACAACAUUAAAACCAACAUUAAUUGGAGCUAAAGUAGCAUCAAUCUUUUUCUUUUCACCAUCAUAUUCAAUCCAUACAUGCAUAGGAUAGCCACUGAAAAGGCUCAUAUUCUUGAAUUGACCAUUACUAUCAUAAUAUCCUGCAGGAGUUGAAUUAGCUGAUUUCAAAUCAUUGAUAUCAAUACCAAUAUGGUUAUCAUUGAUAUCAUCAAACUCACUACUUAGAAGAGUAUCUAGUUCAACACCGAAAACAUGGUUACUACUGUUUCCAUUGUUGGAUUGGUUAAAGAGACCAAGAUAUUGACUUGCUUUUGAAUUUGGCAGCCCUUUUGUAGGUGAAACAACAAAUACAAUUCCAUGGGAACUAAGAGUUGGAUAUUGAGGUCUUAUGGCAAAUACAAAAGUAGUUGAGAAAGAAGAUACACUUUCACUGAUAGUGUUUUUGAAAACUACAGGAUUUGGAUAGAAAGCAUGUCCUUUUUCAUGUUCUGUAUCAUUGGUGAGUCUUAGUAAGCCAUCUGGGGUUAACUCAGCAAUACCAUCAAGAUAUAAAUGUGAUGAUUGGAAACCAUUAUAGAUGAAACUGUUAUCUUUACUUGCUACUAAUGUAACAAGAAAAAACAACAUAAACACAAGCUUGAGGAACAUGAUUAUAGUUUGUGAAUGAAUAAUGCUUCUGUAGUUCUGCUGUUCAAUGUUUAUUAUUUAUAAGAUUUUUUCUAAGUGAAGAAAAAAUUACAAGUGUGCAUUUGUGUUACACAUGGUGUAACAUAACUUAGCUACGAAUUAUUACUUAAAGAAACAUCACAUGACAUGGUUACUAAAAUUUUCCUUUAUCAUCUGAGUCCAACUAAGAAAUGUCUCAUUUAGUUUAGUAAAAAUGAAUGUGUUACACAUUUGAAUAAAUGUGCACAUUUGAACCACAUUUUCUUUCCAUCUGUAGUAGCGGGGGAAUGUUUUUCAACGUUUACAUAUUAAGUGUUCGAUGCUAAAUUGAAUAUGUGAAAUUAAAUCAUCAAAGUCGUCUAUUAUCUUAAAAGAAGUAUAGUGUUUUUUUUUUUUUUUUAAGUUCACACUUGAAUAUGUGCACUUUAGCAGUUACUAUUGAUUUUGCUGCAAAUAAAAUGAUUAAUGAAUACGUGGUUGAAGGAUAAAAGAUAUAUGUUGGUUUUGACUCAAAAUUUCAUAUUUUUCUUUAUGGAAAAAUGUCGGGCAAUUUCGAGCCGCCUGUUCCAUCGAUCACAUGUGUUGUCAAAUCACGGGGUUAUGGAGGCAAAUCGCAGGGUAAUUUGUUCAGGAUUGAUAGCUAUAAAAUGCAGUUUUUCACUCAUUUGUUGAACAAUCUUUCUACUCCAAAAGAGCUAGAGAACUUAUAGGGUGAGAGUUAAGUGUUUUUGGGUGAUAUUCUUAGGUUGGAAAACAAUUUGUAAACAUCUUGGAUAAUGAGAUCUUGAAAGACCAAAAACUUUUUAUCGUUUUCUCUUUGGAUCUUUAUCUAGGUUUGAGUGAUAAAGCGGUGGAGAAGAAAUGAAGAAGAACCAGAAAUUAUGUUAUUAAGUUACUUUUUAAGGUUACUCUAAACCUCUAAAUUCCUUAAAAAUUCUCUCCUUUAGAGUAGAAAGAUUGAUCAAUAAAUAUGUCGAAAUAUGCAUUUUACAUAGCAAAAGCAAAGCUUUGUCAUCACCUUCAAUUCUGAUUCAAUGUUCUCCAGUCAAAAGUAUCUUGUAAAAUUCUGUCAAUUUCUCUAUGAUAGGUUUGUUCUCCACCAUCCUAAUUGAGUAGGGUUGUUGUUUCAAAAACUAUAUAUAAGUCAAAGACUUUGUCGUGUAUAAUGCCUCCAACUUUGUCCACAUAGUUGUUGUCGUCGCUUCCUUCGUGACAUCCUUUAAUAUAUCUUUGAUACAUAAAAUAAUGUUUUUUUGCUUUGUCUAUCAUCUAUAUAUUCUCUGCAUGUGUCAAGUUUGUUGAUAUCCACACUUCACCCUUCAAUGCUUUUGCACAUUUCAGUUGUGCCAAAACUGAUUGCAUCUUUAUCUUCCACAGCCCAAAAUCACUGCUUACAUCGAACUUCUUGAUGUUUCAUUUUGAACCAAAAGUGCUCGCUUGAGCAAUUACCCAUUCACCGCACCUUGGGCGCAAAUAUUGUAAAUUCGAAAAUGUAAUCACACCAAUAAACUUAAAUGUGUUAGGAUAAAUAUCAAUGGCAACCAAAACCAAUGUAGUCUCAAGCAGCAGCAGCAACACCAACAACAGUAACAUACCUAGUUACUAAGCAAAGUAAACCCACAAUAAUCAAAGCAUGAAUGUAGAUCUGAGAGAAGCUCAGAAUGACCUAUGUUUGGGGAAGAGAGAAACUCUCCAAUCCAAUAUGAAAUGAUUGAUACAAAGAAACAGCCUCUAAUUUUUACCCAUUUUUUCAAGUCAUAGUUUCUACGAUGGGAGUUGUUAUGUGGCUUUUUCUCACAUGCCCACACCACCUAAAAUGAGCUUACCAUAUUUUCUACAAUGGGAGUUAUCUCAACUUUUUCUCUAUGUUUAUUUAGUUCAGGGUUAAAAACUAUGUAAUGGACUAAUUGUAAAACCUAACUUUCUUUUUUAGGUGCUGCACUGUCUGUAAAGAGAAGUGACAUAUUGGCUCUUGCUAUAGGUAUGAUGAACUCUUUGAUCCUCCACAAUCAAUGAUUGGUUUAUUGUGUCAUUCACGGGUGAUAAUUCUGCAUGUCACAAUCAAUGUUGGAAUAAAAUGAUUUGUUUAAAUCGAGCAGAACUUCUGUUUCAUGAAUGGUGUGUUCAUCAACUGGUAACAGUUAUUGCAACUAUAGAAGAAAGGCUUAAGUGGGCUGUGGGUUUUCCUACUAUAGGUGUUUUAAUUGUUUUACAUGCACUAAGGCAUUCUUUAGAGCCAACUGCAUUUCAGAUAUGGCUCAAUAAAUGUUAUAUUUCAUUUAGAGUGAAUCACCAUUUAAGUCUAUAAAAUUACAGGGGUUGAAAUUUGUAAUGUUAGUCCUUUUGGGUCGGUCGAUAUAGUCCUUGAAAUUGUCUUGAAGAGACUAAUGUGAUUGAAAAUUUUCAAUUUCAAUGAUCAUUUUAGAAUAUGUUAAUUUUAGGGGCUAAAUUGCACGAUGUCGUGACCAAUACUAUUUUUAGACUGAAAUAGGUUAUUCGCUCUUUCGUUUUAUGUUAUAUGAUGUGCCUGUGCUAGGUGGUACUUACCUAAAAAUUCUUGAUGGCUACAUUAGUUAAUAUGUUGAUGCUAUCUGAUGAAUGGAAAAUUUAAAUUUUAUCACUGUAUUUGUUGGUCGAGGGUUGAGUACCUCAACUGGUUUCAGCUAAGGGUUAAGGAGUUGGAGGUCCUCGGUUCAAUUUUUGCUAACUUAGACGUUGUCCAUGACAGUGAUUAUAAUUAUGUGUUGAUAACUUAUCCUGCCAAGCCCUGUAUAUUAAACAUUGAUUAGUUGCUCAAUAUUAUAGGUGGAUGUCUAGAAGUACUAGCCCAAAAAAAUAGAAAGAGUGAAGAAGAAAAGCUAAAGAACUUUGCCGAGGCUUUAUGGAAAAACCUUAAGAUGUAUUUAGAUGAUUUCCUAGAAAAUACAGAAGCAAAUAUAUGUCCAGUUAUCGAUGCUCGUAUUUGCAGGAUUCUGUAAAUCGAACCAUCUUCUGCUGUUGUAGGUUCAGGUUGAAGUUGCUUGUAGUGCAACUUCAAGCAAUGAUAUCCAUUAUCACGUACAUAGCAUUUCUAAGGCAUAUUAUGACUUGUAAGUGGUGACUAUGGUGAAGCAUCAGAUAGAUUUUUCAUGGUGUUGAAAAUAUUAGUACUUUAAUCAAUGAAUUAAAAUUCCAAUAAGAGAAAGAGACUACAAUUACACUAUAAUGAAACUCCUUGUAUCUAUUAGGAGAAAGAGACUAAAUUAAAACUCAAACAUUACAUAAAACUCAUGUAUAUAUCUAUUACACUAUUAACUCAAAUAUGAUUUUCCAUUUGAUUUAACAAAUCUUUUUAAUCCACAACCAAAAUCUAACGACCACCAGAGAGAAGUGAAUCAGAAAUAGAAACAGAAGUAUGUGACAUUGUCUUGUCCAUGGAAGAAGGAUACGACAAAGGAAAGUCCUCAAAAUAUUCUUGGUACCCAAAAGUUAAUCCAGAAGAAGAUAAACUAAGCGAAGGCAAAUCUGGCAAAGGUAUAUCCCGCUCCAAAUACUGCACAACUUGUCUCAUACCUGGUCUAGCCAAAGGUUCUGAAUGUGAACACAACAAACCAAGUUUCAACACCAACUCAACCUCUUCAGACACAUAAUUUGUCCCCAAAUUUACAUCUUUUGCCUCAAGAAUAUCACCUCUUUUCCAACACUCAAAUACACAAUCAACCAAAAUUACACUUUCAUUUUCCCCAACAUUAGAAAUAGGCCUUCUACCACAAGCAACCUCAAGAAGAAAUGCACCAAAAGAAAACAUAUCAGAAAAUUUAGUGGCCUUACCUGUUCUAAUAUGUUCAGGAGCAAGAUAACCAAUUGUUCCAGCCAAAUGAGUUGUGUGAGGAUCUGCACCAUGGUCAUACAACCUUGAAAGACCAAAAUCUCCCAAUCUAGCAUUAAAUUCAGAAUCUAAUAACACAUUACUAGCUUUUAUGUCUCUAUGGAUAACAACUUUCUCCCAUUCUUCAUGAAGAUAAACCACACCUGAAGCAACACCUUUGAUGAUUCUAUAUCUUUGACUCCAAUUCAACCUUACUUUUGGUUGGUUAUAUAGAUAGUUGUCUAAACUUCCAUUCGGCAUGUAAUCAUAAACCAAAAGUAACUCGCUUUUUCGCCUGCAAUAGCCAUGAAGAUGAACAAGAUUCCUGUGCCGAAGACGACCGAUACUAACAAUUUCCGACACAAAUUCCCUCAUCCCUUGUCUUGACUCGUGUGACACCCUUUUCACAGCAACCUCAAGUUUGGAACUCGGUAUCACACCUUUGUAGACUCUACCAAAUCCACCAACUCCCAGUAGCCCUUUUUCCCUGAACCCCUUUGUGGCAAAGUAUAGAUCUUUGAACUUAAAUCUAUGUGGGCCAUAUUCAUGUUCCCAAUCUUCAAGAAUCUCAGCAAACAUCUUCCGUUUGAUAUAAUAUAUAACCCCUAAAGUUAUCAUGAAUAGCAAACUUAGCAAAAUCAAAGGCAACCCAACAGUUAAAAAUUUAGACUUUUUUACCUCAGCAAAUACUGUUAGCUUAGGAAGUUCAGAUAUUUCAAGGUUUUGAGCUUGGCCAUUAACCUUAAAACUCCACCCAAGAAUAUAAUGAGAAGCUACAAGUAACCCUGUUGAAGAUGAGAAUCCAACAUACAUUCUAUUGUUGAGAAUUGAAGAAAGAUCUUUGGUCAAUGAUAACAAAGGUUGUGUUGGUUUAUUACUAGCACCAACACUCAUUGGAGCUAAAGUAACAUCAAUCUUUUUCUUCACUCCAUCAUAGUCAAUCCAUACCUGUAUAGGAAAUCCAUUGGAAAGGGAUAACUCCCUGAAUUGACCAUGAUCAUUAUAAUAUCCUGCAGGAGUUGAAUUAGCUGAUUUCAAAUAAUUGAUAUCGAUACCAACAUGGUUAUCAUUGAUAUCAUCAAACUGCAAAUCUUGACGAGUGUCAAGCUCAACACCAAAAACAUGGUUGUUACUGUUUCCAUUGUUGGAAUCGUUAAAGAGACCAAGGUAUUGACUUGGUAGUGAAUUUGGUAGCCCUUUUGUAGGAGAAAGAACAAAAACAAUUCCUUGGCCACUAAAAGGUGGAUAUUGAGGUCUUAUUGCAAACACAAAAGUAGUUGAGAAAGAAGACACACUUUCAUUGGAAGUGUUUUUGAAAACUAUAGGAUUUGGAUAGAAAGCAUAUCCUUUGGCUCUUUCUGUAUCAUUGGUGAGUUUUAGUAAGCCAUUUGAGGUUAACUCAGCAAUACCAUCAAGAUUUAAAUGUGAUGAUUGGAAUCCAUUAUAUAUGAAACUGUUGUCUACACUUGCUACCAAUGUAACGAGAAAAAACAACAUGAACACAUGUUUGAGGAACAUGAUUAUUAGUUUGUGAAUGAACAAUGCUUCUGUAGUUCUGUUUGAUGUUUUGUUAUUUAUAAGAUUUUGUGCUAAGUGAAGGAAAAAUUGCAUGUCUAAUUUGGGUCCUAGGUACUAAGAAAUGUCCUGGAACUUAGCUAGGAAUUAUUAUUACUAAAAGAAACAUCACAUGGUUACAAAAUUAGCCUUAUCAUUUGAGUCCUACCAAGAAAGGAAAAUACUUGGGUGUCUUUGGCUUUGGUGUCUUUAAAUUUCUUUAGUUCAUUUUCUACGAGAGAGAAUGAUGGAUCAAUGAUUAAAAUAAAUUAUUAGAUUAGAGAGAAUGAAUGGUUAAGAGGGAAAUAGGAACAAAGGCACCAAUGACACAAAAAUCAAAGCAACCUAAGUGCAACCCACUAAGAUAUGUCUCAUUUUGUCUAUUGAAAAGAAUGUGUUACACAUUUGAACCACCAAUUUUCUUUCCAAAUGUUUUUCAAUGUUCACAUUAUUAAGUGUUUGAUGCUAAAUUGAAUAUGAAAUUAAAACAUCAGUGUCAUCUAAUUUCUUAAAAUAAGUAUUCCUUCCGAAAUAUUUUUGUUUUUUAUUCAUUGAAUAUCUAAUGUAUUUGGACAAAUACAUUACACAUUCAAUAAAUUUAGAAAGUAAUUUUUUAUUUAUAAAUGUGACUGGAGGGAGUAUAUGUUUUUUUUUUUUUAAUUUCACACUUGAAUGUGUGGCCUUGACCUAUUACUAUUGAUUAUGCUGCAAAUAAAAUGAUGAAUUAAUACGUGGUGGAAGGAUAAAAAGAUAUAAGUGGGUUUUGACUCAAUUUCAUACUCACUCUAUCCCUAAAUAUAAGAUUAUUUUAAAAAAAUUGUUUGUCCUUAAAUAUUAAGACUAAAUAAAUUUCUUCAAAAAAAAAAAAAAAGACUCAAUAAAUUAUUAGAUGUAUUUAUUACUUUUUUCUCCAAUAUACCCAAUAUUAAUACUACUCCCUCCGUUUUUAAAUAUAAACAAAAUUGAUUUGUAAGGUUCAUUCAUUUAUGGACCACACAGUCACACAGUUAGGGAUUGUAACAUUGAAUGAACUCUAGGUAAUUUAGGGAUUGUGAUUGACACACAGUCACACAGUCAAAUUAACUACAGCCAUUAGGGAUGAAGCAGUGGACAAUGUUGUGGUUUUAUGUUGCAGUUGAGGCAACCUAUGUUGGUGUUAUGUUGCGGUGGACAUUGGGAAGAACAUGCCUCUAUUCAAUUGCAAUUGGGUUUUAAAUAUGUGGUGUUACCUUAUGGUGGGAAAUUAGAGAAUUCCUAAAUCUAAACCAUGUAAUAGAUUGGAUGGUUGAGAUUUUUUUUACAACAUGACUAAGAGACUGCAGUGAAUCACGGUCCGUAAUUUAGUAAUAGGGGGGGAUUUUUUUUAGAAGAAAUGAUAUUUUGACAACCAUUUUGUGACAACUUUAUUUCUCACACUCACAUUAUUUUUUUACUUUCUCUCUCUAUUGUUUUGGUUUCCGUGUCACUAUCUACUUUCCUUUGUAAAUUAGUGGUUAUCACAAAAGUUGUCAUUCAAUUGGUUGUUCAAAUAACACACCUCUUUUUUUAGAGAGAGAGAGAGAGAGAGAGAGAGAAAAUACGGGUGUUGGUCAGACAUGAAAAUUACUUUAAAGGACAUGUGUUUAAUGACAAUUAAAAAAGAGAGAAGGGGUAUUUUUUGUCCAAAUCAAAUAGGUGUAUGAUGCCAAUGCACACCUUCUAAAAUUAAAGUGGGUGCGUAUCAUCCUUUCCCUUUAUAUAAUUAUAUAAUAUAUAUUUACUUAUAAACGAAAGUUUAGAUGAGGAACACCCCAUAUAAGGUCAUGAAAAACUAUCAACUUUGUUAUUUUUGUUUAUUUUUUAAUACGAAAGUUUAAAUGAGUUUGGUUCUGAGGGCUCACAAGGAUCAGUGUAGACCUUAAGAAAUUAAGGUUCAAUGAACGUUUAUAGAGGUAUUUACUAAUCAUCCGCUAAAAAGGUCAUCACAUUGCUAGUGAGAGUUGAAUCCGACCACGUUAAAGAUUUACUAAUCAACAAGAACGCAUGGAGGAACAUUAACUAAUGAUUUGUCGGCUGAUGUGGCUAGUGGAGAGGCCAGUAGGCAUGGCGAGAUGUAACGAGGGAUGAAAAUGAAAUUAAAUCAAAUGGUCUCUGGCAUAGAAGAUGCUUCUCUCACUAGUCAUUGAGGAACACCUUUUGUCAUGCUUCAUCUCUUCUUUUGAAAACCCUUCACCAUUUCUUCUCUCUCAAAUUCAUAUUUAUUUACUGAUAAGUGCUCAAAAGUAACAUAUUUCAGGUGUUAACUUAGGCAAAAUAGUGACUUGUUUUGCAAGUUAUCUAAGGAAAAGCUACCAUUUGAGUGUAUUUUUACCAUUUAUGCUUUACAUGCCUGAUUCUACCCAAUUUAUGCAGGAAAUGACAAGCAAGGACCAAGAAAGAACCUCUUGAACCAAGAGAUGGUCGCUUAAGCGACCUCCUGUUCGCUUAAGCGAACCAGUUCCAGAGAGCAUCAAGAUCUUCGCUUUCCAGACGCUUGCACCACGCUUAUGAAGAAAAUAGUUGCACGCUUAAGCGACCAUUGUCCAGUGAGCACCAGAUUUGCACGCUUUCUGCUCGCUUCUCACACGCUUAAGCGAAGUUCAUCAGCUUCAUAUGGAUAAGGCACACGUGGUAGCUCCCAAUUGGGCUAAGAAAGAUAUUUUGGUGGGUCGCUUAAGCAACCAGAGCACGCGUAAGCGUGCUAACACGAAUUCUGCCCAUAUAAAUAGUUUUUCCUUCUCUCUCUUGGAGAUUAUUACAUUUUUAUUCAUAUUUUCUGCAUUCUAGAGAGAGGUUAGGGCAUUUCUAGAGAGAGAAAUACAAGGCAAGGUAGUUAGGAGUAGAUUCAAGCCAAGAUUUGUUGAGACAUCAUGGAUCUUGUCAUGAAAUCUUCAUCUUUUCUUCAUCAUUUGCAAAGCUAUCAUAGACAUAUGUAGCUACAUCCAUUCUUGUGGUUUUGAGGUAUUCAAACAAGCUAUUAUGUAAUCUUUUGAUAAUUUAAUGUAUGGUUCUAGCUAUUUAUUCAAUAUUGUUGUUAUUCUUGCUUUUAUUGUUUUAUUGAGAUUCAAAAUGAUAUGGACACAUACUUUUGAAUCUAGAAAUAGAAUAACAAUCUAUCUUAUUUUUGAGGCGAUGUCGGGAUUAAAAGUGAACUUCCAUAAAAGUUUGUUGGUGGGGAUUAAUGUUUCGGUUUCUUGGUUGAAUGAUGCAGCAAAUAUGCUUGGGUGUAAAGUAGGUAAGGUCCCCUUUGUGUAUUUGGGUCUCUCGAUUGGUGGUGAUCCGAGGCGUCUGUCGUUUUGGGAGCCGGUGGUGGAUAGAGUUAAAAAGAGAUUAUCAGGGUGGCGUAGUAAUUUCCUAUCUUUUGGUGGUCGUCUAGUUCUUCUUAAGGCUGUCCUGUCCUCUCUUCCUGUCUAUGCACUUUCCUUCUUCAGAGCUCCAUCAGGUAUACUUUCUACCCUUGAAUCUUUGUUUAUAAAAUUCUUUUGGGGUGGGUGUGAGGAUCAUAGGAAAAUUUCAUGGGUUAGUUGGAACAAUAUUUGUGCUAGCAAAUUUAAUGGUGGUUUGGGGGUGAGGAGGUUGAGGGAGUUUAAUGUUUCUCUGUUAGGCAAGUGGUGUUGGAGGUUAUUAGUCGAUAAGGGUAGUAUGUGGUAUAGGGUGUUGGUAGCGCGUUAUGGUGAGGAGGACAGGAGGUUGGCGGUUGGGGGCCGGAGUGUUUCUUUGUGGUGGAAGGAGGUAGCAGGUAUUCGUGAUGGGUUAGGUGAAGUAGGUGAAGGGUGGUUUAGGGACAAUGUUGAGCGUAAGGUGGGUGAUGGGGUUGAUACGGCGUUUUGGUUGGAUCCGUGGGUGAGUGGUGUGCCUUUGUGUGUUCGGUUUAGGCGGUUGUUCGACUUAGCCGUCAAUAAAUCUAUUUCGGUGGCAGAUAUGUUUGCAUUAGGUUGGAACGAAGGGGGGGAGGCGUGGCAAUGGCGUAGGAGGUUGUGGGCCUGGGAGGAGGAGUUGUUAGGGGAGUGUAGGAUUUUAUUGUCUGACAUUUUCUUGCAGCAUAAUUCUACUGAUCGUUGGACGUGGAGACUUGAUCCGUCGAAUGGUUACUCAGUUAGCGGUGUGUACCGAAUGCUCACCAGUCAACCGGUCCAAGCAUCAGAUGUUCUAUCGGAUUUAAUUUGGCAUAAACAGGUUCCCUUGAAGGUAUCUAUUUUUGCGUGGAGACUCCUACGUAAUAGACUACCGACGAAGGACAACUUGUCCGUGCGUGGUGUUAUUUCUCAUGAUAAUCAGUUUUGUGUGAUUGGUUGCGGUGACUUUGAGACUGCGCUUCAUUUGUUUUGCUUUUGUUCGUUCUUUGAUGCCUUGUGGGGGCACAUUCGGUCUUGGCUAGGGAUAGCUACCGCCGAGCCCUUCUGUUUGUUAGAUCAUUUUUAUCAGUUCGUGUAUUCCGCAGGUCCAUCUCGUUCUAUACGUACUUUCAUGCAACUUAUUUGGUUGUGUUCUAUGUGGGUUCUGUGGAAUGAAAGAAACAGCAGGGUCUUCAAAAAUAGGGAACACACUGUUCACCAAUUGGUAGAGAAAAUCAAAGUGCAAUCCUUUUGGUGGAUGAAGGCUACUAAUAUUUCUAUUCGUAAUAAUUUUCAUAUGUGGUGUUCAAGCCCUUUUGUUUGUUUGGGCAUUGGCUAGUUUGUUCAGUUGGAUUCAUUGUUGUUUUUGUAGUUGUAUACUGUUGAGAUUUGUCUAGCACACCUUGUGCUUGAUUGAUCUCUUUGAGGUUUUAAUAUAUUCCAUUUUUGCUUGUUCAAAAAAAAAAACAAUCUAUCUUAAGUUAUCACUCUAGACAUGGAUGUUAAUAUUUGAUAAUCAAUUUUAAUCUAGGACUUAAUGCUUUUGGGUAAAUUAAUCGGUUGGGAAAUCGUCGAUUAAAUUAUCCAAUCGACUUCGUGAUCGUUUAAAUGUUUGGGAAAUCGAUGUUUAAACGAUCCCUUAGAAAUAACGAUAUCAUUUGGACACGAAUGAUAUUGUCGAGUGAUUGUGAUAAUAUAGUUUAAAAAGCUAGAAUCCGUUAAUCGAUCGAGAGAUUGCANNNNNNNNNNNNNNNNNNNNNNNNNNNNNNNNNNNNNNNNNNNNNNNNNNNNNNNNNNNNNNNNNNNNNNNNNNNNNNNNNNNNNNNNNNNNNNNNNNNNNNNNNNNNNNNNNNNNNNNNNNNNNNNNNNNNNNNNNNNNNNNNNNNNNNNNNNNNNNNNNNNNNNNNNNNNNNNNNNNNNNNNNNNNNNNNNNNNNNNNNNNNNNNNNNNNNNNNNNNNNNNNNNNNNNNNNNNNNNNNNNNNNNNNNNNNNNNNNNNNNNNNNNNNNNNNNNNNNNNNNNNNNNNNNNNNNNNNNNNNNNNNNNNNNNNNNNNNNNNNNNNNNNNNNNNNNNNNNNNNNNNNNNNNNNNNNNNNNNNNNNNNNNNNNNNNNNNNNNNNNNNNNNNNNNNNNNNNNNNNNNNNNNNNNNNNNNNNNNNNNNNNNNNNNNNNNNNNNNNNNNNNNNNNNNNNNNNNNNNNNNNNNNNNNNNNNNNNNNNNNNNNNNNNNNNNNNNNNNNNNNNNNNNNNNNNNNNNNNNNNNNNNNNNNNNNNNNNNNNNNNNNNNNNNNNNNNNNNNNNNNNNNNNNNNNNNNNNNNNNNNNNNNNNNNNNNNNNNNNNNNNNNNNNNNNNNNNNNNNNNNNNNNNNNNNNNNNNNNNNNNNNNNNNNNNNNNNNNNNNNNNNNNNNNNNNNNNNNNNNNNNNNNNNNNNNNNNNNNNNNNNNNNNNNNNNNNNNNNNNNNNNNNNNNNNNNNNNNNNNNNNNNNNNNNNNNNNNNNNNNNNNNNNNNNNNNNNNNNNNNNNNNNNNNNNNNNNNNNNNNNNNNNNNNNNNNNNNNNNNNNNNNNNNNNNNNNNNNNNNNNNNNNNNNNNNNNNNNNNNNNNNNNNNNNNNNNNNNNNNNNNNNNNNNNNNNNNNNNNNNNNNNNNNNNNNNNNNNNNNNNNNNNNNNNNNNNNNNNNNNNNNNNNNNNNNNNNNNNNNNNNNNNNNNNNNNNNNNNNNNNNNNNNNNNNNNNNNNNNNNNNNNNNNNNNNNNNNNNNNNNNNNNNNNNNNNNNNNNNNNNNNNNNNNNNNNNNNNNNNNNNNNNNNNNNNNNNNNNNNNNNNNNNNNNNNNNNNNNNNNNNNNNNNNNNNNNNNNNNNNNNNNNNNNNNNNNNNNNNNNNNNNNNNNNNNNNNNNNNNNNNNNNNNNNNNNNNNNNNNNNNNNNNNNNNNNNNNNNNNNNNNNNNNNNNNNNNNNNNNNNNNNNNNNNNNNNNNNNNNNNNNNNNNNNNNNNNNNNNNNNNNNNNNNNNNNNNNNNNNNNNNNNNNNNNNNNNNNNNNNNNNNNNNNNNNNNNNNNNNNNNNNNNNNNNNNNNNNNNNNNNNNNNNNNNNNNNNNNNNNNNNNNNNNNNNNNNNNNNNNNNNNNNNNNNNNNNNNNNNNNNNNNNNNNNNNNNNNNNNNNNNNNNNNNNNNNNNNNNNNNNNNNNNNNNNNNNNNNNNNNNNNNNNNNNNNNNNNNNNNNNNNNNNNNNNNNNNNNNNNNNNNNNNNNNNNNNNNNNNNNNNNNNNNNNNNNNNNNNNNNNNNNNNNNNNNNNNNNNNNNNNNNNNNNNNNNNNNNNNNNNNNNNNNNNNNNNNNNNNNNNNNNNNNNNNNNNNNNNNNNNNNNNNNNNNNNNNNNNNNNNNNNNNNNNNNNNNNNNNNNNNNNNNNNNNNNNNNNNNNNNNNNNNNNNNNNNNNNNNNNNNNNNNNNNNNNNNNNNNNNNNNNNNNNNNNNNNNNNNNNNNNNNNNNNNNNNNNNNNNNNNNNNNNNNNNNNNNNNNNNNNNNNNNNNNNNNNNNNNNNNNNNNNNNNNNNNNNNNNNNNNNNNNNNNNNNNNNNNNNNNNNNNNNNNNNNNNNNNNAGUGUUAUAAAUAUUAAUAUUGGAUGUCCAAAUAGCAAAUGUGUUAGUGGGCCAUACUACUAGGUUUUGGGCUUAGUUCAUUAGCUACUCUAUUUCCCUAUAAAUAGAGCUCAUUUGUAACAUUGAUACACACAUCAGUGAAUAAGAAUAUUUCUCUCUUCUUCUCAUUCUCUCUAUUACUGUCUCUAUUUACUUAUAUUCAUAACACGUUAUCAGCACGCUCUAAUCACUGAAAAGGUAUUAAUAUACAAUAUAUUUCACUAAUUCAUUUUUUUUCCUUGGCUAUAAUGUCCUCGUGUAUAUACGUGAUUCAUUAGGAACAGGAUCAUUAGAAAUUGGUGUUCGACAAGGAUUAUAUAUCUAUGUGCCUAUUUAAUUGUUGUUAUAAUUCAUAUACAGUGAUAAUUGUACUCUUGUAUCGAUGAUUUUAGGUCACUGUUACAAUUCCAUCAAUUGGAAUCAGGACCUAAUAGAUACAAAUCAUUGUUUUUUUGCAAAUUAUAUAAUGUUUAUUUAUUUUAUGAAUUCAAUCCUUGAAGGACCACUUAAAAGUAAAUAAAGAAACUCUAAUGAAUUCUUGAAGAAUCCAAUACUAAUGCAUCCCGGAAGGAUUGCACAUACAAAAUUUUUUAAUGAAUUCCUGAAGAAUUCAAAAACAGUACGAAUGCAUCCAUGAAGGAUUGCACAUAUAAAAGUUUCUUAAUGAGUUCAUGUAGAAUGCAACAGUAGUACUAGUGCAUCCCCGAAGGAUCACUUAAAAAUCAUUUUUUUAAAUUAUUUUAUGAAUUUCUGAUGAAUUCAACAUUAAUGCAUCCCUGAAGGAUUACACAAAUAAUUUAUCAAACUUAGUAGAUAGUUCUUGCUGAACUCAAAUAUUUAAUCCCUGAAGGAUUGCAAAAGUACUACCAUUUUAAUUAUGAUUGUCGUACGAUUGUCCUUGAUUAUAUUUGUGCAUUUUUUUUUGUUGAAUAACAUUUGUAUAUGCAUAAACAACUGCCAUGGUAAAAUAUAAUGGUUAUUAAAGUAUGCAGGUUGCAUGAGUAAUUGAAUUCUUGUAUAAUAAUAUCAGUAACAAACUUGAUAUUUUUCUUUUGGAUAAGCAUGAGACAAUAACGUUAUAACGUGUAUCAUUUUAUCAACUAAUUAUGAGAAUUAUACUUCUCAUUUAUAAAAGAAGGACACGUAGUAUUCAUGUGUUGCAUUUAUCACGUUAGAAAUUGCAUCAUUUAUUUUGUAGUAAUUAUCUUAUAAAUAAAUUAAUAUUAACUCAAGAAGUGUUUAUCACUAGUAAUUAAUGAUAGGAACAAAUUAGCAUACAAUUUUUUUUAUGAAACAAAUCAGCAUACUAUUACACGUACUUAGCAUACAAAUUUAUGGAACAAAUAUAGACACCCACUGCAACACAUAUUUAGGAACAAAUCAACAUUUUUUUUUACAAAACCAUGGCUGAAAAAAAUAUAACACAAUUUUUUUUGCAUAGUUAUAUAACACAGAUUGAAUAGCAUUCUUUUUCAUUCCACAGUCUGGUCAAUCUAGGACGGAGGGAAUUUUCUUAAAGCCUAUCUUUUCCGGAAAAUUGUCUAUCAAAAUAAAUUCUAUUUUACGAAACAAAUUAAGUUUUUAUAUUUCAUAAUAGUCAUGCUCCUUAAUGUUUUAUUAGUUAUGUCUUAAUUAUUUUUCACAUGAUCAAUCUACAUAAUAGUUUCUUCUAUUUUUUUUCUAACUCUGUUAUAUUUUAUCUAACUUGAUUAAUUUUAUAAUUUGAUGAUAGUAAGAAUGUCAAAUCUGUCAAAACUUCAUUUUGAGGUCCUAAAAAUUUCUGGACACAACUAUUUGACUUGGGCCGUAGAUGCUGAAAUGUACUUAGCUGCUGAAGGAAAUGCAGAUGCCAUAAAAGAAGGAAAUAAGGCAUCCGAACAACAAAAAGCAAAAGCAUUGAUAUUCCUUCGUCACCAUAUUAAUGAAGCACUUAAGAAUGAAUACCUCACUGUGAAAGAUCCACUUGUGCUCUGGAAUAAACUAAAAGAUAGAUACGAGCACUUGAAAGCCAUUAUCCUCCCAAAAGCUAGGUAUGAUUGGAUGCAUUUGCGCUUACAGGACUAUAAAUCUGUAACUGCCUAUAAUUCUGAAGUAUACAAAAUUACUUCUCAAUUAGAAUUGUGUGGUGAAAAGGUAACAGAUGCNNNNNNNNNNNNNNNNNNNNNNNNNNNNNNNNNNNNNNNNNNNNNNNNNNNNNNNNNNNNNNNNNNNNNNNNNNNNNNNNNNNNNNNNNNNNNNNNNNNNNNNNNNNNNNNNNNNNNNNNNNNNNNNNNNNNNNNNNNNNNNNNNNNNNNNNNNNNNNNNNNNNNNNNNNNNNNNNNNNNNNNNNNNNNNNNNNNNNNNNNNNNNNNNNNNNNNNNNNNNNNNNNNNNNNNNNNNNNNNNNNNNNNNNNNNNNNNNNNNNNNNNNNNNNNNNNNNNNNNNNNNNNNNNNNNNNNNNNNNNNNNNNNNNNNNNNNNNNNGUGAUCGUUUAAAUGUUUGGGAAAUCGAUGUUUAAACGAUCCCUUAGAAAUAACGAUAUCAUUUGGACACGAAUGAUAUUGUCGAGUGAUUGUGAUAAUAUAGUUUAAAAAGCUAGAAUCCGUUAAUCGAUCGAGAGAUUGCAUCUGUUACGCUUGGUUGAUGUCUUUGACCGCAAGCGAAAUAGCCCUAUCUCUUCUCGUUUGACUUUUAUGUCGAAUAGGAAAAUAGUUUUACACAAACAAACAAUUUAUACCCAAACACUUAACGUGACAAAUAUUAUGAAAAUGCUUAUGAAAUACACAACUCUCUAUGGACACGAUCCUAUUAUACUCACGUGUAAAUAGUUUUAUGAGAUGGAAAAAUCCUUCAUCAUUUACCACACUUGGCGAUGGCGGAGCAACACAAGGAGGUAGAGGGUGCACUAAUGUUGGAGUAACACUUUUGGUGGGUUAUGUAGAUAAUUGUCUAAACUUCCAUUCGGCAUGUAAUCAUAAAUCAAAAGUAACUCGCUUUUUCGCCUGUAAUAGCCAUGAAGUUGAACAAGAUUCUUGUGCCGAAGACGACCGAUACUAACAAUUUCCGACACGAAUUCCCUCAUCCCUUGUCUUGAUUCAUGAGAGACCCUUUUCACAGCAACCUCAAUUUUGGAACUUGGUAUGACACCUUUGUAGACUCUACCAAAUCCACCAACUCCCAGUAGCUCGUUUUCCCUGAAACCCUUUGUAGCAAAGUAUAGAUCUUUGAACUUAAAUCUAUGUGGGCCAUAUUCAUGUUCCCAAUCUUCAAGAACCUCAUCAAACUUCUUCAAUUUGAUAUAAUACAUAACCCCUAAAGAUAUCAUGAAUACCAAACUUAGGAAAACCCAUGGCAACCCAACAGUUAAAAAUUUGGACUCUUUUUUCUCACCAAAUCUUCGUAGUUUAGGAAGUUCAGAAAUUACAAGAUUUUGAGCUUGACCAUUAAGCUUAAAACUUCAACCAAGAAUAUAAUGAGAAGUGAAAACUGAACCAGUAGCUGAUGAGAAUCCAACAUACAUACUAUUGUUCAAAAUUGGAGGAAGAUCUCUGGUCAAUGAAAACAAAGGUUGUUUUGGUUUAACAACAUUAAUUGGAGCUAAAGUAACAUCAAUCUUUUUAUUUUCACCAUCAUAUUCUAUCCAUACCUGCAUAGGAUAGCCAGAGAAAAGGGUCAAGUUCUUGAAUUGGCCAUUUUUAUCAUCAUAUUCUGUCUGAGAAAUGAAUACUUUAAGACUAUAGGGCUUAAAGAAGUUGAAGUUGUUGGCCUUGGUGACUGUUGAAUAAGAGAGAAAAGAGAGACAUAUGAUGAAAUACGAUGCAUUUAUCCCGUCAGAGUGAAUGAACAAAUUUUCGAUCUAAACUUUGAGAGGUAUUUUUACUAGAUAAUUAGUAUCUUUUUAUACUCGCAUAUAUAAACACGUAAGAUUCAAAAUGGGAACGGUUCGAGUAUUUUUAACAAAUGUUUGCAUGUAAAAUAAUAGAAGAUUUUAUAGAAAUUCAAUAUUAAAAUAAAAGAAAGUUUUUACAGGACCCAUAUUUAUCACUUAUUAAUAAAAUAUAUUUGUUUUUGACAAAUUAGUAAUAUUAAUGUUAGUUUUUACACGGAACUCAUAUUUAUCAUUUAUUAAUAAAAUAUAUUUGUUUUGACAAAUUAUGAAUAUUAAUGUUAGUUUUUACACGGGACCCAUAUUUAUCACUUAUUAUUAACAUAUAUAUUUUUGACAAAUUAUUAAUAAAACAUAUGAGUGCAUGUAAAUACAAAUAUAUGUUUGGACAAUAUAUAAACUGUUAUAAAUAUUAAUAUUGGAUGUCCAAAUAGCAAAUGUGUUAGUGGGCCAUACUACUAGGUUUUGGGCUUAGUUCAUUAGCUACUCUAUUUCCCUAUAAAUAGAGCUCAUUUGUAACAUUGAUACACACAUCAGUGAAUAAGAAUAUUUCUCUCUUCUUCUCAUUCUCUCUAUUACUGUCUCUAUUUACUUAUAUUCAUAACACGUUAUCAGCACGCUCUAAUCACUGAAAAGNUUGCAAACCUUAAUCAUUUAAAAUUUCGUUCCUUGACCCACUUAAUCACUGCCUCAUCUAUAAUAUGGCUUGAAAGAACAAAAAUACCCUUGAUAUGGGUUUUUUGAACACCAAUUAUUCUCACAUAAAUCAACAGUGCCAAUUUGUCACAAGAAUGCACACAAUCACACCAAUCACAAAAAAAUAAAAGAACACACAAAAACCAACAGCAAACUCAUUGAUUCCAAUAAACAUUAAGGAAGUUUUCCUCAAGAAAUUCAUCCACAAAUUCAUGCAUAAACAACCUAGAAAUUUAUCACCAAAUUCGAAAAUUAAAAAACUCUAUCACAUAGAAUUUAAUCCCAAAGUUGCAACUCAUCCCUUUGAUAAUUUGUAACCAACUUGAUAGAUCUUUAAGCUACCUUACCUUCAUUCAACAUUUAGUAAAACAACUUCAAAAGAUGGCAGCAACUCAUUUCUCUCUGCUUCUGAUCAAACACUACUUGACAAACUAACUUCAACAGAGUUUGGUGAUUUCAUCAACAAUAAAAAUCUGACUCUCACACUCUUGAAGCAGUUAAAAAACAACACCGAUGGCAGUUACAAACUUCAAUUCCCUUGCCUCAUUCCUUUUCCAACUGCAACUCAUCCCUUCCCUCCUUAUAGAUAUGAAAAACACACAUUGUGAGGUCACCGUCGCCGUCGUCGCUUUCAUUCCAAAAACACGUGUGGUAAAGAACUGGACGCUCCGACACGGUGUUUGAUGUGAUAUGGAAAGAAAGGGAUAAGGAAUGGAUUUUAUUACUGUAUGUGUUGUGAUAAGGAAAGAAAGGGAGAAUGAGAUAUGAGUUGUGUGGUGUUGUUUGUGAUGAUGAGGAUGAAGGAGAUGGUGGUGGUUGUGGUGCUGGGUUUUGAAGAUGAAGAAGGAGAAGAGAUGAACUUAAGGGUAAAACAGUUAUUACGUUUAAGUGUAUGUGUUAGAACCUUAGGGGCAUUUCGGUCUGUUCACCUAAACUUUUGAUGGGUCAACACUGCCACGUCAUCAAAUUACUAACAUGGCGGUGAUUAAGUGGGUUAAGUGAUGAAAUUUUAAAUGAUUAAGGUUUGCAGGGGUAAUUUGUCAAGAUUAACGAUUACAAGGACCAAUUUUUAAAUGACCCCUAAUUACAAGGAUGAAACACAUUUUAAGCCUAUAUAAUACUUUAAUUUUGAUUUUUUAUGGGACCCAUAUCAGUAUUUUGUAUGUUAUUUUUCACACCGAAACAUAAUUAGUAAAUAAAAUCUUUGAUUAUUUUCAAUCAUUAAUAUUUUAAUACACUAUGAUUAAUCACUUUAAUUUUGUUCGUUGUUUUUCUAUAAAUGGGUCAUUAUAAAAUAGUUGGAGGUGAGCUUAGCUCAGCUAUAAGGAACAAUGUAUAAUAUAUGUAAGGUCCUGGGUUCAAACCUUCACUACCACAAAAAAAUAAAAAUAAAAAAAAUAAAAAAAAAUUGGAGGGUACAAUUGAAACACGGGAUCCAUAAUAACAUUUCACUACUCAUGAUAGAUGCAAAGCAUAUUAGUAACUAAAACCCGUGACCAAUUUUAAUUAGUAUUUUUUUAAUGCAUAAUUUUACAAAAGAGAGCAGCCCUCUGUUUCACUAUAAUAAUGAGUAAUUUUACAAAAGAGAUAUCAAUGGGUUACAAGAAUAAGUCUCCCGCCUAAUUCUACCCAAAGUCUCAAUCUCUUCCCAUAACCAAGAGACUCAAUCCUAAUAGUGUUUUCUAAUCUGAAUCAACCAUCAAACUCUAGUGUUUGUUUUCAAGAGAUAAACUCUAUACAAACCUUAGUUUUGUUGUUGCCUUUCUAAACUCUUGUUUCAGCCCCCUCUAUCUCAAGGUUUACUCGGAUACAAAGCCUAUAUUUAUAGUAAAAGUAUCCCUCAUAAAACUGGAACAAAUCUAGGCCCGAAAAUACGUUUCUGUUUUAUUUCCUGCUGUUAAAAUCGGCCACCGAAUUGCACCAUUCGAACACCAAUUUUUCUCGAACCAACAGACAAAAAACCAGCACUUAAAAUCGGCCACUGAUUUUCUACUUCCAGAAUUCCAAUUUCUUCAAUUUUGAGUCACUUUCACAACAGAAGAAAUUAGAACGAGUGGAGGAGAAAAGAUGAAGAGCUUGUCUGAGUCUUUAGCACAAACAUAAUUUCUGAAGUUAUUUAGUGAUUGGUUUAUUGCAUUUGAAGGUUUUACAGGUUAUUUCUUUGAUUACCCUUUGAAUUUACUAAAUAAUAAUUGUAGUGUCAUUCGUCUACUCAAAAUAGAUGCAAACUUGGACCCAAUAAAGUAUAAACAAAAUCAAAACAAAAAAUAGUUUAAUGAGAAAAUGCUUUCAUGUAACUAUUAAACUAUUUACUCAAGCAUGAAUUCACUUUUUAGAUAACAAACUAUCUUUAAUCCAUUUUAACAAAAUCUACCACAUUACAAAAUCGAAAUGGACCAAUUAAGCAUCAAUUUCACGUGCCUUUUGAAAUCAACGACCACCAGAGAGAACAGACUCAGCAAUAGAUACAGAAGUAUACGGCAUUGUCUUGUCCUCAACAGAUACUUGGUACCCAAAAAAUAAACCAGAAGAAGAUAAACUAAGCGAAAACAAAUAUGGCAAAGGUAUAUCCCUCUCCAAAUACUGCACAACUUGUCUCAUACCUGGUCUAGCCAAAGGUUCUGAAUGUGAACACAACAAUCCAAGUUUCAACACCAACUCGACCUCCUCAGACACAUAAUCAGUGCCCAAAUUUACAUCUUUUGCCUCAAGAAUCUCACCUCUUUGCCAACAUUCAAACACAUAAUCAACUAGAAUUAGACUCUCAUUGUCUCCUACACGGCCUAGAGGCCUCCUACCACAAACAACCUCAAGAAGAAAUGCACCAAAAGAAAACACAUCAGAAAAUUUUGUAGCCUUACCUGUUCUAAUAUGUUCAGGAGCAAGAUAACCAAUAGUUCCAGCCAAAUGAGUUGUGUGAGGAUCUGCACCGUGAUCAUACAACCUUGAAAGACCAAAAUCUCCCAAUCUUGAAUUAAAUUCAGAAUCUAACAACACAUUACUAGCCUUUAUGUCUCUAUGAAUCACAACUUUCUCCCAUUCUUCGUGUAGAUAAACCACACCUGACGCAAUACCUUUGAUGAUUCUAAAUCUUUGACUCCAAUUCAACCUCACUUUUGGUUGGUUGAAUAGAUAGUUGUCUAAACUUCCAUUCGGCAUGUAAUCAUAAACCAAAAGUAACUCGCUUUUUCGCCUGCAAUAGCCAUAAAGUUGGACAAGAUUCCUGUGCCGAAGACGACCGAUACUAACAAUUUCCGACACGAAUUCCCUUAUCCCUUGUCUUGAUUCAUGAGACACCCUUUUCACAGCAACUUGAAGUUUGGAACUUGGUAUCACACCUUUGUAGACUUUACCAAAUCCACCAACUCCCAGUAUCCCCUUUUCCCUGAAACCCUUCGUGGCAGAGUAUAGAUCUUUGAACUUAAAUCUAUGUGGGCCAUAUUCAUGUUCCCAAUCUUCAAGAACCUCAUCAAACUUCUUCAAUUUGAUAUAAUACAUAACCCCUAAAGUUAUGAUGAAUACCAAACUUAGCAAUAUCAAAGGCAACCGAACAGUUAAAAAUUUGGACUUUUUUUUCUCAGCAAAUACUCUUUCUCCAGGAAGGUCAGAGAUUUCAAGGUUUUGAGAUUGGCCAUUAACCAUAAAACUCCAACCAUGAAUAUAAUGAGAAGCUGCAAUGAACCCUGUUGAAGAUGAGAAUCCAACAUACAUUCUAUUGUUGAGAAUUGGGGAAAGAUCUUUGGUCAAUGAUAACGUCGGUUGUGUUGGUUUAUGACUAAAACCAACACUAACUGGAGCUAAGGUAACAUCAAUCUUUUUCUUCACUCCAUCAUAUUCAAUCCAUACCUGCAUAGGAUGUCCACUGGUAAGGGAUAAAUUCCUGAAUCGACCAGUAUCAUCAUAAUAUCCUGCAGGAGUUGAAUUAGCUGAUUUCAAAUCAUUGAUAUCAAUUCCAACAUGAUUAUCAUUGAUAUCAUCAAACUCAAAAUUUUUACGAGUGUCAAGCUCAACACCAAAAACAUGGUUGCUACUGUUUCCAAUGUUGGAGUAGUUAAAGAGACCAAAGUAUUGAUUUGGUAGUGAAUUUGGUAGCCCUUUUGUAGGAGAAAGAACAAAAACAAUUCCAUGGCCACUAAUAGAUGGAUACAUGGAUUUUAUGGUAAAUACAAAAGUAGUUGAGAAAGAUGACACACUUGCAUUCGAAGUGUUUUUAAAAACUAUAUGAUUUGGAUAGAAAGCAUAUGCUGUAUCUGGCCCGGUAUCAUUGGUGAGUCUUAGUAAGCCAUCUGAAGUUAACUCAGCAAUACCAUCAAGAUAUAAAUGUGAUGAUUGGAAACCAUUAUAGAUGAAACUGCUGUCUUCACUUGCUACAAAUGUAACAAGAAAAAACAACAUAAACACAAGCUUGAGGAACAUGAUUAUAGUUUGUGAAUGAAUAAUGCUUGUGUAGUUCUGUUCGGUGUUUAUUAUUUAUAAGAUUUUGUCCAAAGUGAAGUAAAAAUUGCAUGCCUAAUUUGGGACCUACUAAGAAAUGUCCUGGAACCUAGCUACGAAUUAUUACUGAAAGAAACAUCACUUGACAAAGUUUCUUAAAUUGCCUUAUCAUCUGAGAUAUUUAGUUUAGUGAAAAUUAAUGUGUUACACAUUUGAAUAAAUGAGCACAUUUGAACCACAAUUUUUCUUUCCAUCUGUAGUUGUGGGGGAAUAUUUUUCAACGUAUUCAUAUUAAGUGUUUGAUGCUAAAUUGAAUGUGUGAAAUUAAAACAUCAAUGUCGUCUAAAUUCUUAAAAGUGUUUUUUUUUUUCUUUUCAAACUUGAAUGUGUGGACUUGACAAGUUACUAUUGAUUAUGCUGCAAAUCAAAUGAUGAAUGAAUAUGUGGUGGAAGGAUAAAAAGAUAUAUGUUUGUUUUGACAUAGUCACCUCAUCUCUAAAUAUAAGACGAUUUAUAAAAGAAAAUGUAUGUCCUUAAAUACAAGACUCACUACAAAUUACUAAAUGCAUUUGUUAUUUUUCUUCUUCUUUCUAAUAUACCCCUAUUAAUACUAUUGUCAUCUCGAUUUUAGGGUGUCAAGCCAUUGAUUGGACUUGAACCUUUCAAUCCUCGAUGUUCUCUAUUUUUUUGGGGAAGGGUAAAUGGAGAGAAACCCUUAAAAAGUUCUAGGUUCGGGGGUCGAUUUCGUUACGGGAAGGUGUUAGGCACCCGUCGCGACUAUAGUAUCCUAUAGGAACCGUUUUCUAAUUUUGCCUAUGCUUUACCUUUUAUAUUUAUGAAAGGAAUGUUGUUUAUCAAGAAUGGAGGGAGAGAUAGUUGAGUUUGAUUUUAUUUGAAAAAUGAUUUUUGAAGAGGAGGAGAGAAGCCGUAAGGCAUAGAAGAAAAAUGUCGAAUUUGAUCUUUAUUUUUAUUUCACAAAAGGGCAUUGGAGUAUUGACUCCAAAGUUUGUUUGAAAAAUUUAGCCUAUUUCGAAGAAGAAAUUUCGCUAGGCGUCGAAUUCCUAAACAUACACCUAAAUCGAUAAUCAUGCAACGUGUGUGCGAGUGUCGGUGCUUGUGUCGGUGUACAUUAUUAGGGAUAGUCCAUAGUCCGUUACAUUUUGUCCUAGUAUACAUUCUAUGGUCUUGCGAAAAUUAAAAUGGAAACUAAACUAUCUAAAAUGUUACACCAUUUAUCAUAUGAAUAAAAGUAAAAAAAAUGGCUAAACUAGUGGAAAUAGAAAUGGAAUGGUGAAAUGCUCAUGAGAUGAAUGAAACAAAGGGUGAGAUGAUUAGUAAAACAAAGCAUAGAAUAAUAGAAGUGCACAAGAAAUAAUAUUGAAAGGAAAGACAUAAAAGAAGCAAAUAAAGUGGCAAAAUGUGUGUGAAAAUGGACAUAAAACUCUAGCACAUGUAUGACCCAUAAUCCCUUUAUUUUGGCGUUUUUAGAGGUCUUGCUUUGUGUAAAAAAAAAUGAAAAAGAUGGGACAUAUUUUAUGCUAGAAUUUAUGGCGCACUUUCAAAACAUUUUGACACUUUAUUCACUAAUGAAAAUGCAUACAAAUUGCAAGGUGAAGAGGGAAUUAAAAUUGAUAUACAAAAGCAGCAAAUUGCACAUAUAAUCAGCAGCAAAAUCAUCACAAAAUUGCACUCCAAGAAGUCAUAUCACAUGUCAACGCUUCAUGAGGAAUAUUGCACUAAAAAUGCACAUACAUGGACCAAAAAUACACUAAUUGAACAAAAAUAUCACAUGUGAUCUUUAUCAUUUUUUUUUAGUUGAAAAGCAUCACAAAGAUAUGAGAAUCCACCAAGAAUCAUGUGAUAUUUUUUGUGCAAUUUUUAGAGUAUUUUUCAAACAUGCAGAGGUUCAAUUAGUAAAGAAACGGGGUGCAGAUAGCAAAAAAAUAACAAAAAAACGAAAAAAAAACUAGGCCCAAACCCAUGCUGCUGGAAACGGAUCAGGUGGAGAGCACAGGGACCGUUGGAUCGAUCCAGGAAUUAAAAUCUAGAUCCAACGGAUGAGAAAGAAAGGAAAGAACCAAGAAUAAACCGGUUCGGUUCAGCAGCCUAUAUAUAGGUGUGAAAACCGGUUUUUCUCAUUUUUCUUCUCCUCUUUCUCUUUCUUCCCUCAAUCUAGUGAGAGAAGCUCUCACUUCUCUCUAGGAUUUCCGGUCACCUUCUCCGAUUCACAUGGCUUUUCCGGCGCGGCGGACGGCGGUGGCGCCUCCGCGCCGGAGUUCGAAACUUCUUCGAUUCAAAAAACUUUUUACGUUUUUGAACAUCCUUUUUUGUAUACUACUCGAAUCCGAGCUUAGAUUUUUCAAAAGAGUUUUGAAUCGGAGUAGAUCUAAACUUGAACCUUGAUGAAAAAAAAAAAAAAAAAAAAAUUUAAGAAAACGGAAAAGAAGAGAGGGAGAACGACGGCGGUUACCUCUUUGGCACUUCGAACUCACGAUUGCAGCGGCUCUUGGCUUGGCGUUGUUGCUUCGUGUUCUUCGCGUGUGCGCUUCGUUGCAGUUGCUUCGGCUUCGAUUGCUGUUGCUUCGGCUUCGAUUGCUGUUGCUUCAGCUUCGUGUGCUUGCGUUUCUGUUGCUGGCUUCGAUUGCUUGCGUUUUUUCGAUUCUGUCCUCUUCUCCUUCCUCUGUACAGAUUCGAUUUUCCCUUCUUCUUCUCCCACCGUGAUCGGUGCUUGAGUUCUUCACUUCCGGUGAGGAAUUCGCACCUUGUAUUGCGGUGGAAUCGAUUCAAUGAUGAAGAUUCGUACACGAAUCUCUGAGAAUUGAUGAUGAAUUUCGGUUAGGGUUCUUUGUGUUCUUGAGAAAUUUUUUGUUUUUGAUCUGAGCCAAUGAAAAAAAGACACCUGGACUGGGGAUUGGACUGAUACGAAAAUUUGGACCAAAAUGCCCUUUGGGGCGUUUCUGCAAAAUAAUAAAAGAUAAGGACUGAACAGCAAUUUUUUUAAAAAACUAAAAAAUGCAAUUUUAAAAUGUUUUUGGACUAAAAAUGUAAUUUUUUAAAAUAAAAUUGGACUAAAAAACAAAUUUGAUAAAACGUAAAGUGAAACCAAAAUUAAAAUCAACCAAAGGACUAAAACGAACCAAUUACCGACAUGAGGUAUUUUAAAAUACCUCCCUGUCGAAUUUUUGAUAGGAAAAGACCAAAACGCCCCUAGGGACUAGACUGACUCGAACUGACUCAGAUGCAAUUUUUGAAAUAAUUUUUAAACAAAGACUCAACAAUGAUUUGUACAGAUAGGUUGAAAAGACUCAGAGGCAAACACAGGGGCUAAAAUGGGUUCCACUGCAGGAAAUGACCAAAAUACCCUUUUGUAUGGUUUUUUGAAAUAAAAUGCAAGAAAAGUAAUGCGACGUUUCAGAGGGUUCUUAAAUGACUUGUAACGUCAGAAAAGACAGAGGCAGUAAAAUAUGUUUAAAAAAGAGUAAAGAUUCAGAGUAAAAUAAGAGAGAACUGACAAAUAUCAGCGUUAAAAAAGAAAUUUGAACGAGUAUUUUUAGGUCCAAAAUCAGGGUAUAACAACUAUAAAUUUAUCAUAGAAAAUGCAAAAUAACAUUGAAUGUACUUAUAUACAAAGGGUAAUAUAGCAAUAGAUACAUACAUUUCAGAUAAAAAUUUUACUCCAAAGACUUUUCUUAAGACACGUGAUUUUUGUAAAGUGUUCUUAUAAAAAAGGAUGAAGGAAAUUUUUUUCUUCUUGCAAAAAUCGAGGCGAAAUUUCGAGCCACAUGUUCCAUCGGUCACAUUAAUUUGUUGGCAAAUCACGAGGCGAUGGAGGCAAAUUGCUGGGUAAUUUACUCGGGAUUUACAACUAUAAAAUGCAAUUUUUGACCUAGUUGUUGUGGGUGAGGGUUGAGUGUUUUUGAGUGAUAUUCUUAUGUUGAAAAACACUUGUCAUCUUGAAUAAUUAGGUCUCAUUAGAGGAAAUAUCAAACACUUUUUUCUAGUUUUCUCUUUCAAUUUGGGUUUGAGUGAAUUGAAAAAUGGAUAGAAAUUAGAGAUUGUUCUUGUGAGCUCUCAGAUCUAACUUUUUGUAGUCUCUUUGUAUCACUCAUUUUAUAUUGGAUUGGAGGGUUUCUCUCUUCCCCAAACGUAGGUCAUUUUUGGCCGAAUUAGGUAAACAAAUAUUGAUAUGUUGUUUCUCUACUCUACUAUACUAUAUUUAUGCUUUGGUUAUACUUGUAGAUUUGUUUUGCUUAGUAACUAGGUCUGUUGUUGUUGAUGAUGUUGUCAUUGCUACUGUUCGAGACUACAUUUGUUUUGGUUGCUAUUGAUAUUUGUCCUACAAAUCUAAGUGUAUUGGUGUGAUCCAUUUUUGAAUUCUCAAGAAUUGGCGCCCACCGUGCGGUGAAUGGGUAAUUUGUUCAAGUGAGCACCUUUGAAUCGAAAUGGAACAUAAAGAAGAUCAGUGGAAGCAAUGCUUGGGUUGUGGAAGAUAAAGAUGCAAUGAGUUUGACACAACAGAAGUGCGCGAAAGCAUUGAAGAGUGAAGCUGCUAUGACAACAAACUUCACACAUGCAGAUAGGAUAUAGAUGAUAGAUAAAGAAAAAAGUGUAUUAUUUUUUAUUAGAAAAAUGAUAUUUGAACAACUUUUUUUAAACAACUUUUAUGACAACUUUCUCUCAUACAGUCAUUGUACUUUUAAUCUCUCUCUCUCUCUCUCACGAUAUUGUCCAAUUAGAAGAGAGGAAAAAAGUUAUCACAAAAGUUGUUUAAAUUUGAUUGUACAACUAUCAUUCAUUUUUUUUUUAUGUAUCAAAUAUAUAUUAAGGGAUGUGUUAAGAAUCAACAUUAGUCAACUGUAUUCAAUAUGCUACCAAUUGUACACACAAACAUAUGAAUAUAAAUAAACAUUCAGUGUGUUCAUAUUAGACACAACCAUUAUACAAUCUCAACAUGGUAUCAAUAGUUUUAAGUUUCACAAUUUGUUCUUAUAUGCCUCAAAACGGCCACUAAGCAUCCCUUAUCUUUGUCGCUGCACAUCUUCCCUCCGGUGUGCCACUACCAAUAGGUUUGUCUCACUCUUGCGACCUCUGCAGCCCAACCGCACUGCCACCCGUCGCCGCACGCACCCUCAUGAACGUCCAAUAGCAUGGCGCGUGAAACCUAUGUGUGUGCCCACGAAUUCAUUUUUCAACAUUUUUUAGGUCACGAUCCAUCAUUCGCCACGAUCUUCCCUCCACCAAACACCCCUCUGUGCAAAAAAAUUCACCUUCCACAUUCAUGGGUGAUAACGCUAACAUCGAUUCCUUCACUUUUACCAAUGCUCCGCUCAUCACGUGCGACAAACACAAUCCAUAUCAACACAACAUAAGGUAUUUAUUCAGUUAUUUUAUGAAUCUAAUUUAAUUUUAUUAUGCAAAUUACUUAUUUCUCCACCACCAUGAUCUUCAUCUUUCUCAGUAAACAUCAUCAUCAAUAAACACAAACUCUUUAAAAAUUUCUCCUCCAGUUUCAACUCAUCUCCUUCAUCUUUUUCUUCACAUUUAUGACUUCAUCAUCAAAUAAAAUCCAAAUAAAGCAUACCAAUAACGAGCCAACAACAACAAAAAAUCAAUUUUUUCUGUAAAAUUUCUUCAAAGUUUUUCAAUUUGGUAUCUCUUUUGUUAACUGUUCCAAAUCAAAUUUAUACCAAUCAAAUCUAAAGCUCAAGAAAAAGUUCAUGUCUAAAAUGCAAAUGCCCAGAUCUAAUACUCAAGAAAAAACUAAUGUACGAAAAAAAUUCUAAUGUCUAUUGUUGAUAAUGAUGAUGAAGCUCAACUAGGGUAACGAGGAGAAGAGUAGAAGAAGAAUCAAACAACAACAACAACAAAUAUUUUUUAGGUUUAUCUCAUAUUUGUUUUGUUAGCGUGGGUUUGGAAAAAGAAGAGAUUUUUUAGUUUAGAAAAAGAUAAUAGAAUAGAAGGAGGAAGAGAAAGACUAGAGAAGAGAAGACACUGACAGAAGGUUUUUUUUUUUUUUUAAUCUUUUAUUUUUUGUUUUAAAAAAUAAUGUCACAUGCCACGUAUGAAAAGUCAAAUUAGCACGUCGUGUUCCUGUGAGCUUAAUCCAUUUGGCAAAAACAAUGCAAAAUAUAUGUAAAGUCUGGAGUUUAAACUCUAGACACCACGAAAAAAAAACAGCAGUCAUGUAAGUAAUUUUAUACAGUCAUAUCCAAAUCAGCGCGUCACUUUAUCCAUUUUGCAUAGUCAGCUAGUCUAAUGUACAGAAAAUAAAAAAAAAUCUUCAAAUUACAAACUAAAAUCCUUAUUGUUAACCAUGAAAAUUCAAAUUUUUCCUAAAAAAAAAAAACCAUAAAAAUUCACAUUUUAAUCCUUUUGUCAUUUGACUUCACCCAAAAAAAAAUUAAAAGUUUUCAGGCAAACACUUACGUUUCCAGACUCCAAAAAAUAGAAAAAUUAUAUGAACCCGGUGGCGAUCUUUCUGCUCACCGCGAAACUCAGACUCAACCAGGCGACGUCGACGGCGACAAACACGGAUGCUUCACAAUGAUAGGCAAUGUAGAGGUGUAUUGGUGCCGCUCAGAUUGAGCAUUCUGCAAUUUUGACGCCAUUCAAAGAUAAUUGCAAACCAUACUCAAAUCAUCAACAACCUUUCCUUGCCAUAACCAGGGCUUCAAGAAUUUUACGUAUUCAAAGCUUCAAAGGCAAUUUGGAUUCUAAUGGGAUAUUCAGAACUUCCCACCAAUGCAAAACUUUAUGUGGUAUAGCAAAACUUUAUGCAAAACUUUAUAUUCAGAGAGAGAGAAAGAGAAGGUUGUUUUACUGCAUUUGAAGAUAGAGUAUAUGCAAAAUCAGAACCAAAAAGUUUAAUGAGUAAAAGCUUUCAUGUAUCUAUUAAAAUACUUAAACAUGAUUUCACUUUUCAGAUAACAAACUCUCUUUAAUCCAUUUUACCAAAAUCUAACACAUUACAAAAUCAAAAUGCACCAAUUAAGCAUCAAUUUCACGUACGUUUUAAAAUCAACGACCACCAGAGAGAACGGAUUCAGCAAUAGACACAGAAGUAUACGGCAUUGUCUUGUCCUCAACACAUUCUUGGUACCCAAAAGUUAAACCAAAAGUAGAUAAACUAAGCGAAGACAAAUCUGGAAAGGGUAUAUCCGUCUCCAAAUACUGCACAACUUGCCUCAUACUUGGUCUAGCCAAAGGCUCUGAAUGAGAACACAACAAUCCAAGUUUCAACACCAACUCCACCUCUUCAGACACAUAAUCUGUCCCCAAAUUUACAUCUUUUGCCUCAAGAAUAUCACCUCUUUUCCAACACUCAAACACACAAUCAACUAGAAUUAGACUCUCAUAUUCUCCUACACGACCUAUAGGCCUCCUACCACAAACAACCUCAAGAAGAAAUGCACCAAAAGAAAACACAUCAGAAAAUUUAGUAGCCUUACCUGUUCUAAUAUGAUCAGGAGCAAGAUAACCAAAAGUUCCAACCAAAUGAGUAGUGUGAGGAUCAGCACCAUGAUCAUACAACCUUGAAAGACCAAAAUCUCCCAAUCUAGCAUUAAAUUCAGAAUCUAACAACACAUUACUAGCUUUUAUGUCUCUAUGGAUAACAACUUUCUCCCAUUCUUCAUGAAGAUAAACCAAACCUGAAGCAACACCUUUGAUGAUUCUAAAUCUUUGAAUCCAAUUCAACCUCACUUUUGGUUCGUUGUAUAAAUAGUUGUCUAAACUUCCAUUCGGCAUGUAAUCAUAAACCAAAAGUAACUCACUUUUUCGCCUGCAAUAGCCAUGAAGUUGAACAAGAUUCCUGUGUCGAAGACGACCGAUACUAACAAUUUCCGACACAAAUUCCCUCAUCCCUUGUUUUGAUUCAUUAGACACCCUUUUCACAGCAACCUCAAGUUUGGAACUUGGUAUCACACCUUUGUAGACUCUACCAAAUCCACCAACUCCCAGUAGCCCCUUUUCCCUGAAACCCUUCGUGGCAGAGUAUAGAUCUUUGAACUUAAAUCUAUGUGGGCCAUAUUCAUGUUCCCAAUCUUCAAGAACCUCAACAAACUUCUUCAAUUUGAUAUAAUACAUAACCCCUAAAGUUAUGAUGAAUACCAAACUUAGCAAUAUCAAAGGCAACCGAACAGUUAAAAAUUUGGACUUUUUUUUCUCAGCAAAUACUCUUUCUCCAGGAAGGUCAGAGAUUUCAAGGUUUUGAGAUUGGCCAUUAACCAUAAAACUCCAACCAUGAAUAUAAUGAGAAGCUGCAAUGAACCCUGUUGAAGAUGAGAAUCCAACAUACAUUCUAUUGUUGAGAAUUGGGGAAAGAUCUUUGGUCAAUGAUAACGUCGGUUGUGUUGGUUUAUGACUAAAACCAACACUAAAUGGAGCUAAGGUAACAUCAAUCUUUUUCUUCACUCUAUCAUAUUCAAUCCAUACUUGCAUAGGAUAUCCACUGGAGAGGGAUAAAUCCCUGAAUCGAUUAUAUUCAUCGUAAUAUCCUGCAGGAGUUGAAUUAGCUGAUUUCAAAUCAUUGAUAUCAAUACCAACAUGGUUAUCAUUGAUAUCAUCAAACUCACUACUUAGAAGAGUAUCAAGUUCAACACCAAAAACAUGGUUGCCACCGUUUCCAAUGUUGGAUUGGUUAAAGAGACCAAGGUAUUGACUUGGUAGUGAAUUUGGUAGCCCUUUUGUAGGAGAAAUAACGAAAACAAUUCCAUGGCCACUAAGAGUUGGAUAUGAAGAUUUUAUGGAAAAUACAAAAGUAGUUGAGAAAGAAGAAACACUUCCGCUGGAAGUGUUUUUGAAAACUAUAGGAUUUGGAUAGAAAGCUUGUCCUUUUUCUUGUUUUGUAUCAUUGGUGAGUCUUAGUAAGCCAGUUGAGGCUAACUCAGCGGUACCAUCAAGAUAUAAAUUUGAUGAUUGGAAUCCAUUAUAUUUAUAGAUGAAACUGUUGUCUAUACUUGCUACCAAUGUAACAUGAAAAAACAACAUGAACACAAGUUUGAUGAACAUGAUUAUAGUUUGUGAAUAAAUGAUGCUUCUGUAGUUCUGUUUGGUGUUUAUUAUUUAUAAGAUUUUGUGGUAAGUGAAAGAAAAAUUUCAUGUCUAAUUUGGGUCCUACUAAGAAAUGUCCUGGAACCUAGCUACGAAUUAUUUCUGAAAGAAACAUUUCAUGACCAGGUUACUAAAUUUGCCUUUAUCAUCUGAGUCCAACUAAGAAAUGUCUCAUUUAGUUUAGUAAAAAUGAAUGUGUCACACAUUUGAACCACAUUUUUUUUUUUCCAACUGUAGAAGCGGAUGAACGUUUUUCAAUAUUUACAUAUUUUAAAUGUUUGAUGCAAAAAUGAAUAUAUGAAAUUAAAACAUCAAUGUUUUCUAAUUUCUUCUGUACCAUUGGUGAGUUUUAGUCUGCUAGUUGAGUUUAACAAGAUAAAACAACAUGAACACAAGUCCAAGGAACAUGAUUAUUGGUUGUGAAUAUUGGGAAAAACCCAUGCCCUACAUCGGAUAGAUAAGACUCUUGGUAAGAGUUUAUAUAGAGGAGACAAUCCUCACCUUAUUGAACCUGUUUUGUAAGGUAGAGUUAGGCCCCCAAUUUCAUUAGUGAAUAAUAAUUCUUAUGCAGUUAUGUUCAGUGUUUAUUAUUUAUAAGAUUUUGUCCAAAGUGAAGAAAAAAUUGCAAGUCUUAUUUGGGUCCUACUAAGAAAUGUCCUGGAACCUAACUUAGCUAUGAAUUAUCACCAAAAGAAACAUCAAAUGGUUACUAAUAUUGCGUAUCUCAUUUGGGUCCUACUAAGAAAUGUCUCAUUUAGUUUAGUAAAAAUGAAUUUUUGUGUAACUCAUUUGGGACCAUUUGAAUAGUUGUGCACAUUUGAACCACCAUAUUUUUUCCCAAGUGCACAUUUUCAAUGUUUACGUAUUGAAUGUUUGAUGCUAAAUUGAAUAUGUGAAAUUAAAACAUCAAUGUCGUCUAAUUUCUUCAAAUAAGCGUAGUUUUUUUCUUCUUAAUUUCACACUUGAAUGUGUGGAGUUGACUGUUUACUAUUGACUUAUCUAAGUCUAUGAUUUGCUUGGUUGCUAAGAAAAUGAUGAAAGAAUACGUGGUGGAAGGGUGGAUAAAGAUAAUAUUGGUUUUGAAUCAAAAUUUCAUAUUUUUCUUCAUGGAAAAAUCAUAGGCCAUUUCAAGUCAGCCUGUUCCGUCGGUCAUAUGUGCUGGCAAGUUGCCCGGAGAUGGAGGUAAAUCAGGAGGCAAUUUACUCGGGAUUGACAGCUAUAAAAUACAGUUUUUGACAUAUUUGUUGAAUGUUGAGCAAUCUUUCUACUCUAAAAGAGAGAAUUUUUAAGGAAUUUAGAGGUUUAGAGUAACCUUAAUAACAUAAAUUUGUUCUCCAAAAACAUUACUGUCUUUUCAAUUUUCUGGUUCUUCUUCAUUUCUUCUCCACCACUUUAUCAUAGUUUCUGUUUUUCUUACCCUCGUUAUGGUGUUAUUAUGGGGCUUUUUCACACAUGCCCACAUCACCUAAAAUGAGCUUACCAUAUUUUCUACAAUGGGAGUUAUCUCAACUUUUUCUCUACUGUUUAUUUAAGUCAGGGUUAAAAACUAUGUAAUGGACUAAUUGUAAAAUCUAACUUUCUUUUUUAGGUGCUGCACUAUAUGUAAAGAGAAGUGACAUAUUGGCUCUCGCUAUAGGUAUGAUGAACACCAAAAACAUGGUUGCUACUAUUUCCAUUGUUGGAAUUGUUAAAGAGACCAAGGUAUUGACCUGGUAGUGAAUUUGGUUGCCCUUUUGUAGGUGAAAGUUGAAACAACAAAACAAUCCCGUGGCCACUAAGAGUUAGUUCUGGAUCUGGAGAUUUUAUGGCAAAUAAAAAAGUAGUUGAGAAAGAAGACACACUUUCACUAGAAGUGUUUUUGAAAACUAUUGGUUUUGGAUAUAAAGCAUGACCUUUGUAUUGUUUUGUAUCAUUGGUGAGUCUUGGUAAGCCACCUGAGGUUAACUCAGCAAUACCAUCAAGAUACAAAUGAAAUGAUUGGAAUCCUCUAUUAUUAUAGAUGAAACUGUUGUCUUCACUUGCUACCAAUGUAACAAGAAAAAACAACAUAAACACAAGCUUGAGGAACAUGAUUAUUGUUUGUGAAUGAACAAUGCUUCUGUAGUUCUGCUGUUCAAUGUUUAUUAUUUAUAAGAUUUUGUGCCAAGUGAAGAUGAAAAUACCAAUCUAAUUUGGGUCCUACUAAGAAAUGUCCUGGAACCUAACUCAGCUACGAAUUAUUACUAAAUAAAAGAAACAUCAAAUGGUUACUAAAAUUGCCUUUAUCAUCUUGAGUCAUACUAAGAAACGUCUCAUUUAGUUUAGUGAAAAAUGAAUGUGUUACACAUUUGAACCACAAAUUUUCUUUCCAACUGUAGUAGUGGGUAAAUGUUUUUUCAAUUUUUACAUAUUAAGUGUUUGAUGCUAAAUUGAAUAUGUGAAAUCAAAACAUCUAUGUCGUUUAUAGUUUUUUAUUUUUAAUUUCACACUUGAAUGUGUGGACUUGACCAGUUACUAUUGAUUAUGCUGCAAAUCAAUGUGUGGAAUUGGCCGGUUACCAUUGAUUAUGCUGCAAAUAAAAUGAUGAAUGAAUACGUUGUGGAAAGAUAAAAAGAUGGGAAUCGCUAUAUAGUGCGAAAAAUACAACUACGACUUGAAAUAACUGAUACUAGUAGAGUGACCCGUGCCAAGCACGGGAAAUAAAAACCUUUUUUUUUUAUCAAAUGUAUAGAUGUUAUCUUAAAGUUAUAUAAGUAUGGUUAUAAUUUAAAUUUGAUAUGGAAAAAAGUAUCAUCUUAAUUUUGUUAAUUUUGUAUAUAUUUAAAAAUAUCUAAACAUUGCACAUAACGACUAAAGUAUUUGGAUUUAUAUUUAUACUAAUUAUUUGUAGUAUAAGAUGUAAUCAUUGUUAAACUUAGCAUAUGUAAUAUUUUUGCAAAAAUACGCGGACGUACUGUAUAUUAUUAUUUGUUGACAUAAUGUAUUAUAUUAAUCAUAAAAACUAAAAAAAUUGUAUUUUUUUUUAUAUAAUAGUCAGUGUCAAAUGUAUACACCUAGUCUGUGAAUACAAAUGUUAAAUUUUUUACUGGUGUGUAUAAAUAUAGUUUGGGCUACAGAAACUCCGAUUGUUAUUUGUUUUUAUUUUUUACAAAACCAAUGGUCUAAUGUAAAUAUUGUAUUUUAGGGUAACAACGAAUUUUCACCCGAUCGACAAACAGAAACAGAACUUAAAUACUCUUUCUCUUCACCUGGAAUCAGUGACAUCAUAUAUUCGUUAACAUGCUCAACAGAAUCAAGCGUUGGUGCGAGUAUUCCCCUUUCUUGGAAAAAUAGCAGGUCACCAAGGUUAUCAUUUAAAUCGAGAUACACAAUGUCUAUAAGUGACAUCAACAGAUUUGUUGUGUCAGAUAUGAGCAAAUCUUCAAGAAUUUCUACCUUCAUUUCACCAUCUCAUCCGAAGCGACGUUGCCUUCUCUAAUUAAGAGUAUCCAAUUGCCAAAAUUAGCAAUUUAUUCCUGCUCUACAGGUACCAAAGAUGCACCCAAUCCCAUAUUAACAGUAAGCCUCAACACAUUACAAUAAGCUCAUAUCUUUGAUGAACUGAUUGAGGCAUCAACAAUAUCAUGCCUCGUUCCUUUUCGGAUGACAUGCAAUAUCUGCAUGAAAUCACCACCUAAAACUUUUGUCUUUCCACCAAAAGGUCUAAACUCGUUUAGGGGAUCAUUCUUGGACAUGAUAUCACGCAUUGAUCGAUCAACUGCCUCAAAACACCAUCGGUGCAUCAUUGGAGCCUCAUCCCAAAUUAUCAACUUUGCUACAUGCACCAGGUCUUCCCUAGGACUAUCCUUUUCAAUCGUAAGCGAUGAUGCCUCAUUAAUCUCAAUAGGGACUGUCAGCGUCGAGUGCGCGGUUCUUCCACCUAGUAAGAGAAGAGCCAAUGGGCAAUGUUUUCCCCUUCGAUCUAAUAGCAGCCGACAAUGUUUUCCAUAUAAUUUUUUUUCGAGGACCACUGUAACCAUAUAAGAAAAAGAAACCACCGUCGUCAGAACCAACGGACUCCAUGAUCUUGUCAUACACACAUCUUUGUUCAUUAAUCAGCAUUAGUAACAUAUCAGCGUGUGUCUUUUUCAGUUCAUCUUUGUUGUAAUUUAGCUCAUCAAUGAUAAGCUUGUUUGUGAAAGUUAGCAUAUCUGUUGCGUUUAGCCUGGGCAUAGAUUUUAAGUCAGUAAUCGACCGUCCGUUUUCCUGAAGCAGCAUUUCAAUUUCAAUCAAACACAGGUUCUUCAAGUCAACGUCACCGAUACGUAGAUCUGCAUAUUAAAUGUAAAGUCACAAAAUUAAUAUUAACACCUUUGCAUGCAUAUGUGUGCACGUUGAAGAGAAAGAAAAAAUAUUAGCUUUAUAUGAGAGUCCGUUAUAUUUAAACAUAUCAGCCUAAAAAAUAUGGAAAAUGUUGAAUGGUGUCGUAGAGUUAGUAACUCUUAGUUUGUUCUUUACCAUGUCCUAAAAAAAGUACCUCUUAACUCCUUAAACUACACUAAUCAGCCUUUAUUAUAUCCUAAAAUACACACCCCUCGAAAACAACCUUGUCAUCAAGGUUGGAAUGUGCUAAAUUUCUUAAUGUGUAAUAGUCUUCAAAUGUAUCACCCUUAUCCCUAUUUUUUAUUAGUGAAGUACUAUUUUGAUUCUCACUUUAAUUUGAACUCUUUGGUUCCACCAAGAUUCUUUACUCCUAGCUAAGUCCAAAACCUAUUGAUUCUUCUAGUGUCUCUUUUGCUACUUUUCUAAUCUUAUAUGUCAUCUUGUUCCACGUAUCAUUUUCGCUUAUAUGUAACUUCACACAACCUUCCUUCAAAAUCUUUUGUAGGAAAACACUUUGGUUUUGAUCCUUUAAAUGUCACCACUUGAUCUUUGUAUCUCAAUCAUGGCCUCUCAUCUCCGCUCUUAUCUUAACCCUUACAUCCAUAACCAAUAUUAUAUGUUGGAUAGUCAAACUCUCUCCUUGUAAAACUUUAAAUUCUAACAAAUAUUUCUGUCAUAAUUCCAAAUAAGAAAUAAAUCUAUUUGAGAACAUGAAAUCCCACUCUUUUAUGUAAUAAAUUUCCUUUUUAUUUUCCUAAAGUAAGAUUUAAAGACUACAAAAAAUCUAGGAUGGAUUUACCCUAUGCUUUUAUGUCCUCAUGGCCAUACCCUCGUUCACGCCUUUAAAACUUAUCAAACACUCCUUACAUGCCCAUUUAGAUCCCCUCCUAGAAAAAUAUUUUCUCCUUCUGGUAUAUCUUGAAUUAAACCUUUCAAAUCCUUCCAAAAUUUAACUUUAGAAUAUUCUUCCAAACCUACCUAAGGUGCGUAAACACUCAUAACAUCAAAGAUGUCUUAUUUCCUUUUAAAAAAAUAAAAAAAUAAAGAUGUCUUAUUAAACUAAAAAUUUGUGGGAUACAAUCAAAUCUCACAUCCUCUUUACAUCCACAAUAUCCUUUUUCAAUUCCUUAUCCACAAUAAUGCCUACACCAUUUCUCGAUCUAACUUUUCCAAUUUAUCAAUGCUUAGAUCUUGAACUAUCUAAUUCUUUUGUCUUUUCACCUACCCACAUAGUUUCUUGUUGGCACAUAAAAUUAAUUUUCAUUUUAGUGAUAGCAUCAACUGUUUCCAAUUUAUUCCAUGUUCUAAAACGGGUCAUACUCUCAUUAACUAACUUCUUUACCCACACUCGUUCACAAAGAUGUGGAGACCCUUGCUUAUUUUUUACUGCAUUCAGGCAGUGAUAUAUCCAUCCUUGCUCAUUUAACAUUGUAUGUGAGCUAUACAAUGUGUUUCUUCUACGCAUUGACCCAGUGUUCACACUAUUAUAUACUCGGUCCAUGUCAUAGAGAUUCAAAGUGUUUCAAUUAAAUUCAAGUGUUCAAAUUUUAAUUAAAUUCCACCUCUGAUCAAUGAUAGUUAAUUAUGUACUGGAAUGUCAGUGGUGUUAGUAACUCGGACACCAAAGUGGCCUUGAAAAAUCUUUAUGUAUCUCAUAAACAUGACUUUAUUUUCUUGGUUGAACCUAUGAUUAGUUUCUCGCUUGUUCCUUCUUGGUAUUGGCAUGAUAUUGGAGCUACUAAGAGUUGUCUGAAUGAUAGAGGUCAUAUCUCUGAUCAAUGCAUUGCUAUUGAAGUCCAUCAGAAUUUCAGCAAGAUAUUUAUGCGGACCGGUGUGGUUUACCUCAGUUUAGAUUUCCGUAGGAGGCUGUGAUUUUGGCUCUUUUUCUCUUUUGUAUGUUUUUUUUGUUGGUUUUCUGUUUUUUUUAGGGUUUUGGCCUAGUCCCCCUCUUGUAAUUUCCCCCCUUUUUUUUAAUAAAAUUUGAGAUUGGCGGUAUAGGAUGGGAGUUCAUCGGGUGUCAACCUAGUUGGGAUGUCGUUGAUGCAUGUCCUCUCUCCUGAUUUACCUAAAAAAAAUUGUAGAAUCUAGUCAAAGUCUUGAAAUUUGUAUAAUAUAGAAUGUCAUUUAAUUAUAUAUAUUUUUAAGAUUUUUUUUAAAAAGUUACGCGUAAUUAUUUAUUGAUCCAACCUAAUGAAACUUGAUGGUAUCGGGUAAUAGAUUACAAUGAAAACCGACUCAUCCCGUGAACACCUGUAGGCGUGCAUACUGAAACAUGUUUGCUUAAUUUUUUAUUUAUUUUUAAAUAGGUAUCAUCAUCAAAGGAACUCUCUUCAGUUCAUUUAAUUGAUUUUUCCAAAAAACACAAAAAAAAUAUAAAAUUAUGAUUGUAACAAAAAAAAAAAAAGAUCAAGUAUAGUGGUAGAAUUAACACACAAAAAAAGUAGAGUGGUAGAAUGUCAAAUUAUGAUUGUAACAAAAAAAAAAAAUUAUGACUAAUAAUUGCAUUCCAUCAAAGUUGUUACUUCCACAUUAAAAUUGCCAGUAAUAAAAAUGGAAUUAACACCUGACAAAAAAAAUAAAAUGGAAUUAACAUUUUGUAAAAGAUAAAAAAAAAUAACAUUUUUUCAUAACACAAUUCUUUUUCUUUUUCUUAAAUAAUUCAUAACCAAUUCUUAUUUCCUUUACAAUAACCUUAUCAAGAAAAUGCAAUUGAUAUACAAUGAAGUUGCAAAAUCAUUUCAUUAUCCAGCAUGUGUAUAAUAGUGUAUUCUUUUCACUUUUAUAUGAUAGAAAAGAAUGUUACAAAAAAAAAUUUUGGUACAAAAGAGGGCCAAAGUCCAAAGAAUGUUACAAUUUUAUUUUUUGGUCAAUAAGAAUGUUACAAUUUAAAAGUGACAUUAAUGAUUUAAAUUAAUAUAUUCUUUUCACUUUUUUCUGUAAGAAAAUAAAUAUUUUGUUGAACCUUUUUUAUUUAUUGGUUACCCAUCCAUCACUGACUGCACAUAUUUUGAUGAAACUUUAAAAUAGCACUUUAUGAUUUUUUAUAAAAUUUUCAUGAAUAGGAAUGAUUAAAAUUCUUUAAUAACAUGACUCUUGUUACCUUUUUCAACAAACAUAUCAAAUAGGUAUUAAAAUAGAACAUCAAAAUUUGAAAUUCGAAUUAAAAAAAUAUAAUAUUUAAGUAAAAAAUAUCAAUUUUGAAUUACGGUGUUUUCGAAUUCAAUAUAUUUUUUGGUGAGUUAAUUUUAGUAAUUAACAUUAAGAUGUUAAUUAAUAAAAAAUUAAUGGUAUUUUUUUUUUGAUAAGCAAGGAGAGAAGACAGACAUUAAUGGUAUUUGUACGUUGAGACUAAAGAUUUUUUUGUGGUCAACUUUGAGAGUGAAAUUUAAAAACGAUUUUUUUUUUAACUUGGUUUAAUGAUUCAAUACUAUUUUUAAUUUUGACACCAAUAUUAAUAAUAUGAUCUGAAGAAAAAAAAUCAUCGCCUAACUUUUCUCAAUUUGAUGACAAUUUGGUUAUUCCCUUUAAAAUUUGUAGUCAGAUUGUUACAUCUUGCGAUCAUACUCUUUUGAAAAUAAUUAAUUCUCAUUAAAACUAAUAACAUACUCUUUGGUAAUCAUUUUUAUGAUUUAGUCAAUUUUUUUUUUGAAAAAUAAGAUUUCAUUCGAUCAUCAAAUGUUUUUAUCCAGAAUAAAAUAAAUGAAUAUACUUAGGUCCUUGAUGUUAUAUAACUAAUUGUAUCAAAACAAAAAAAAGAGAAAAUAACAUUGAUAUAUAUUGUUGCAGAUGUCAACGUUUGAUCUUUAUAAGAAUAUAUAGAUCACAUAAUUAUGAAAAAGAAAAAUCAAAGCAUAAACCAUGAAAUGUCAAUUAGAAAGAAUGAUUGUUCACAAAUACAAAUCAUUUUUCCUUUGUACAAACAUAAGAAUAACUAUAAAAUUUCUAUUACAUGUAUAUAUAUUUUUUUCUGUACAAACAUAAUACAUAACUACAAAAUUUCAAUUACAUGUAAAAGUCCCAUGCAUUAAGUGUUUAGAAAAAUACAAACUGAAAUAAGAUGACAAAUGGACUAUCAAACACAGUAGAAAUUCAAUUACAUAAUAUUUAUAAAUGAUUAACACUCCUAUGUGAAAAUCCCUUUGCUUUUGAUUGUGAUUCAGCGAAUUUGUAGAAAUGCAAUGUGUUUGAUCAUGAUUCUCUAUCAUAACAAAAAUGAAAAAUAGAAAGAAAAAAAAAGUGAUACAAGUGUGUCUUGUGAAAUUAGACCGAUUCGGAUGUCUAAUAUAUAGACGUAUUUCACUAGGUAAUUUGGUAAUGUGUCAUUUUAUUGAAAUAUGAAACAUUUAUUUUGGUGAAUCAUUUUAUUAAUUUUAGAUGCGUUUAUUAAUUUGGGUGAAACAUAUUUUUUGAAAACAUUUUAAUGCACCGAAGGAUAUUUUGGACUGCAUUUUUAAUAUUUGUUAUGAUUAAGUAACACUUCCACUUAUAAAAUAAGUAACGCUUUUUGUACAAAAAAAACAGUAACAUAUGAACAAAUAUUUUUUUUUUUUUUAAGCAAGGAGAGGACAUGCAUAAGGAGUCAUCAUCGACAUCCCAACUAGGUUGGCACCCCGAGAUACCUCUAUCCUAUGCCGCCAAACUCAAAAAAUUUAUUAAAAAAAGGGGAAAAAGUUACAUACAAAAAGGUGGGGGGACAAUACCAAAACCCACAAAAAAAAAAAGCAGAAAACAGAAAAAGAAACAGAAAAAUACAAAUAAACAACCCAAAAGUAGAUUAAGGGAAUCUAUAAUUGGGUAACCCACAACUAUCCUAUAAAAAUCAAUUUUCACCUCAUUUGGAAGAGUGUCAAUCCAAAUCUCACCAAUAAAAAAUCAUUGGGCAUGCGGGUUAGUGUCACCCCGUGCACGGGAUUUGGAAGGCUGCUUGGAUAAAACGUGUUGUACCUUAAGUUUUUGUUUCUGAUUUCGUGUAAGAACAGGCAUGAAACCAUCAUGUGCUUCAGCUGCUGAUCUUGCAUCAUAUUCACAUAUGAACAAAUAUAAAAUUGACCAAAUUAAAAGUAAUAUUAAUACAUAUUCAAUGUACUUAAAAGUGAGAUUUCAGUGUUAUUUUCUUUGAUUCAAUUUGAUUAAUGCAUAUUCAAUGUACUUCCGUUUUUCUUUUCUGUCCUAAAAUAAAAAUUGAAGAGUUUAAUAAAAUUUCUUUAAAAAAAAGAAGAAUAGUUUAGAGAAAUAAAAAUGUGAAUAAUAUUUGUUUUAGUACUAUUAUUUUUUUUUUUAGAUUUUAUACUUUAUGAUAAAUUAUAAAUUUGAUCAUCUUUUUAAUAGGUUAAAAGAAUAUAUACAAUUUUUCUGCAUAUUUAAAAAUAUUAUAAUUGAAAUAUGAUAUCAUGUAAAACAGUCUCGUUAAAAUUUCAUUAUUUACUAUCAAUUAUAAAAUAUACGAUAAUAAAAUUCUCUCACAAUAUUAUUAAUAUAUUAUCAUCAUGAAAAUAAAAAAAAAAUUUGUUCAUUUGUUUAAUUUAUAAAUUCAUUACAAUGUGAAUUGGCCAACAAAAAUCAAUUUGAUAGGGUAGCAAUUGGUCAAUGUCAAAAUAAUAUUUUGUAUAAAGAAUAUUAAUAUUGCAUUUCAUUAUAAUAUAAAUGAUACAUAUGGUUACAAAUAUUAAUAUGGAAGAGUAUUGAAAACCAAAUGCAUGAGGAUGAUAGGUUUGUUCAGAACUAUAAUUCAAUAAAGAUAAUAUUUAAAAAUAAUAAAGAUAAUAAUUUGUUCAUUUCAUUAAUCCAAUAUUCCUUUAUUAUUCAUUUUUCAUUAAUUGUCAAAUGCACGAAAAUGCUUGGUUUGGUUUAUGAUGCCACAUGUCACUUUAAAAAAAUAAAUAUUUGGUUUGAUUUAUGAUGCCACAUGUCAACACCAAGAGAAAAGAAAAUUACUUCUAUAUUAGGACUUGAAAUAGGUCCUAAAUUUAUACUAUAUAGAUAUAUAGAUAUCUUGUAUAUAUAUAGACUUGAUACAUUGGUUUUUGCUUAUACAUAAGACCAAAAAAAGUAUGUUGGUUUUGACUCAAUUUCAUACUCACUAUUUACAAAAAAUAAAAAAAUAAAAAAGUCCCUAAAUAUAAGACACACUAUAAAUUAUUAGAUGCAUUUGUUACUUUUUUUUUCUUCCAAAAUACCUCUUAUUAAUACUAUCAAUUUAUUUUGGAAUAUGAAAAGUUACAUUGAAUGCAAAUAAACAAAAUGUAAUUUAGUCCUCCUUCCGACUCACAAUAGAAAAUGUAAUAUUCAAUUCCAUAAUAGACUAUUUUUUCAAUUAAAAUAUCAAGGGUUUUAUUAUCAAGAAUACCUUAAUUUCUAGGAUCAUAGAUAUCUUAAGAGGGAUGAAGUAGUUAUCGAUACUUACGUCAAUAUUUGACAUAUAAAAAAUAUUAUCAUUGUCAUUGAUGGGAUCGUCAUCUUUUAAAUUUUCAUUAGAUUGUUCGACAUUAUUUUCUUCUACGACCAAUCCAUCGUUAUUCGAAGACUUUUCUACUUGUUUACAACUUUGUUUUAAUCUCAUGUGCAUUUAUAUUUUGUUGCAAAUUAGAAUUUUGAACUCCCUUUAGUAACAUCACGUGAUAAAUUCUAACUUAAACAUGCGUUCAUUGUGAAUGUCAAUGCUACAUAGUCUAACUUAAACAUGCCUUCAUUGUGAAUGUGAAUGUCGACGGGUGAUUACUGAUUAGUAUGCAUGUCACACUGAAUCUACGAUUAAAAUGAGUUGCUGAAAUCACGUAGAAUUUCUGUUUCAUGAGUGUUGUGUUCAUCAACUGACUAGAAGAAAGGCUUAAGUGGGCUUUUCCUACUAGGUGCUUCAACUGUCGUCCAUAUCUUGCGUCUUGCGGGGUCGGCGUUAAUAAAUUUUUCCGAUUAAAAAAAAAGUGUUUCAUCUGUCUUACAUGGAUUAAGGCAUUCUUUAGAGUUUAGUGCAUUUCAAAUAUGGUCCAUACAUUUCUUUAGAGUUUAUGCAGACCCACACAACGAAUGACUCUUUCGCGGCUCAAAUCGGCAUAAAGUUGGAUGGCUCUAACUAUCCAGUAUGGUCCCAAAUUGUUGAGAUGUAUAUCUCUGGAAAGGACAAAUUGGGGUAUAUCAAUGGACAUCUGCCACAACCUCUAUCAACAGACCCGGGUUUUCGGAAAUGGAGGACUGAAAACGCAAUUAUGAAGGGGUGGCUGAUCAACUCGAUGGACACAUCUCUGAUUUCCAAUUUCAUUUGAUUUCCAACUGCAAAAAUGGUAUGGGAUUCUAUAUCUACAACUUAUUUUGAUGGUUCUGACACAUCUCAAGUUUAUGAUCUAAAAAGACAGGUGACCAAAAUAAAACAGAAUGGAAGAUCCAUAGAAAAAUAUUGCAAUGAUCUUCAAAGGUUCUGGAGAGAAAUUGAUUUUCGUCGUCCUAACCCAAUGGUGUGUCAAAUUGAUAUACAAAAAUAUAAAUCAAUCAUACAAGAAGAUCGAGUGUAUGUUUUUCUUGAUGGGUUGGAUGACCGACUAGAUAAAAUUCGAAGUGAUGUGCUUCAGUUGCAACCAUUUCCUACUGUUGAACAGGCCUAUGCUCAUGUAAGAAGAGAAGACAUUAGACAGGAAGUAAUGAUAACAGGAGCAGAGAACAGUUUUGGCGUUGUUAUGCCCUCUAAAGGAGUCAAGAUUGAAAAAAACCACUGCCUUCUCUUCAUAUGUCUCCUUCACUUGAGGGUAGAAAACCAAUUGCAGCCUCUAAGACCAAGGCACCAUCAGAAGGUGGAGGAUGCACUCAUUGUGGAAAGUUGAAGCAUACACAUGAAACUUAUUUCAAGUUACAUGGGUACCCAGAAUGGUGGAACGAAUUCAAAGCAAAGAAACAACAUGAAGCUGCUACUAAUGGAGGGUCUGCCCGAGUUGCAUUAAUGAAUUCAGAGCCUCAAUUAUCUUUCAUUUAAUCUAUAGAAUCUCAUAACACUGAAAAGACAAAUAAUGAACAAGGUAACUAUGGUUAUGCAUUUCUUAAUUCUAACCAGGAAGUUGAUAAUGGUUGGAUAAUUGAAUCAAGAGCAACUGACCACAUGACAUUUGAUUCGAGUGAAUUUACCAAAAUCACUCUGAUAAGUGCUAGAAAGUUGUAUUUUAAAUUAAUAUUCAAAGCACUUUUAUUACUUGUUUUGCAAGUUAUUGAGGGAAAAGCCGAGAGAUAGGUGAUUAUUGCCCUUUUACGCUUUAUCUAUCUUACUUCACCCAUUUGUGCAGAAUUGGAACUCAAGACAUCAAGCAAAGUACAAAGAGGCAGGAUAUGAAGUCACUCGCCUCCAACUCGCCAUGGCCAGUCAAAGGUGAGCAAUUCCAGUAGCCAACAAAGAUCCCACGCCACCAACUCGCAAUGGCGAGUAAAAAGCGGGUACGUUCGCCAUGGCGAGAUCAAGGCGAACUUCAGAGGCGAGCAAUUCCAAAGAGCAUCGGUGUUUCACUCGCCUUCAGCUCGCAACAGCGAAUGAAAGAAGGAGCAACUCACCAUGGCGAGGGAAUGUACUCGCGAGGCGAGUUAGGGCGGCUUAGGCUUCUCACAGCUGACGUGGCACAAACCCAAUGGUGAAGGAACUUCACUCGCCCUGGCGAAUGAAGGAGCUCGCGAGGCGAGUUGAUGCAGAAUUAAAAUUUUAUAAAUAGCUCAUUCAAUCAUUUCAUUUAGGACACUGAGUUUUUCAUAGUUUUUCACUUGUAAUAUUCUUAGAGAGAGAGAUAGGGCUUGUUCUUGAUAGAGUGAGAGUGAUAGAAAGUGGAUUAUACAUCAUUUUGUUGAGAGAUCACAAGUGUGUAAUGGAUCCUUCCCUUUCAAUUCAUUCUUGCAAGGCUUCCAUGACAAUGAGUAGCUAAAUCUCCUUUGUUGGGAUUAGAGGUACUUGAUCUUAGCUUAACAUGUAAUCUUUUGAUCUAUAAAUAUAUGGUUCUAGCAUUUGAUUUGAUAUUGAUGUUAUUCUUGCACUUUAAUGCUUAUGUUUGAUUUAAUUGUGAUUGAGAAAUACUUUUGAAUCUAGGUUUAGAAUAAUCAUCUAUCAAAACAUAGGUUCUAGACAUGGAAUUGAUGUUNNNNNNNNNNNNNNNNNNNNNNNNNNNNNNNNNNNNNNNNNNNNNNNNNNNNNNNNNNNNNNNNNNNNNNNNNNNNNNNNNNNNNNNNNNNNNNNNNNNNNNNNNNNNNNNNNNNNNNNNNNNNNNNNNNNNNNNNNNNNNNNNNNNNNNNNNNNNNNNNNNNNNNNNNNNNNNNNNNNNNNNNNNNNNNNNNNNNNNNNNNNNNNNNNNNNNNNNNNNNNNNNNNNNNNNNNNNNNNNNNNNNNNNNNNNNNNNNNNNNNNNNNNNNNNNNNNNNNNNNNNNNNNNNNNNNNNNNNNNNNNNNNNNNNNNNNNNNNNNNNNNNNNNNNNNNNNNNNNNNNNNNNNNNNNNNNNNNNNNNNNNNNNNNNNNNNNNNNNNNNNNNNNNNNNNNNNNNNNNNNNNNNNNNNNNNNNNNNNNNNNNNNNNNNNNNNNNNNNNNNNNNNNNNNNNNNNNNNNNNNNNNNNNNNNNNNNNNNNNNNNNNNNNNNNNNNNNNNNNNNNNNNNNNNNNNNNNNNNNNNNNNNNNNNNNNNNNNNNNNNNNNNNNNNNNNNNNNNNUUUUAACAUAAGCCCUCAAGGACCCUACCAAGACCUCCUGAAACUUUUAACUGACCAAGGGUGGGGAAGACUGCUCCAACCUAUCACCGACCUCAAAGCUGAGCUCGUGCGUGAAUUCUACACCAAUGCUCUUCCCAAAAACCUAACCGACCCAUUCAUCUUUAAAACCUAUGUGAGAGGUAGAACCAUCCGCUUCGAUCGAGAAGCAAUUAACACAUAUCUUGGUGACCCAUUUUCCGCUAAGUGAUGAGGAUGAUAUGGAUGAAUUCCAUGAAAACCAAAACAGAGGCACCUUUGACAUUGAUCCAAUGAAAGAAACAAUGAAGAGGGGUAUCUUGUUAGAGGGUACAACAUAUGAUGUGAGCGAUGCUAGCAGAGAGUACCGCGCCCAUAAUGAGUCCGGGGAAAGCGAGGCGGGUUUUUGGUUCACCUUUUCCUUGAAGUGUGACAAGCUUCAAUUCCCAAGCAAUAGUGUGGGCUAUGUCGACUUUGAUGCCCUUGAGAAUGUAGUAGAUUAGUGGGCAUACAUCCACGAUACAAUCGGACAAGUGGCUGUUGGGUUUGACAUUGUGAAGGAUAAACUUCAGGAUGAAUUUAGAGGUGUUGUUCAUAAAUUUAUACUGAGCGCGGUACUCUCUGCCAGCAUCGCUCACAUCAUAUGUUGUACCCUCUAACAAGAUACCCCUCUUGAUUGUUUCUUUCAUUGGCUCAAUGUCAAAGGUGCCUCUGUUUUGGUUUUCAUGGAAUUCAUCCAUAUCAUCCUCAUCACUUAGCGGAAAAUGGGUCACCAAGAUAUGUGUUAAUUGCUUCGCGAUCGAAGCGGAUGGUUCGACCUCUCACAUAGGUUUUAAAGACGAAUGGGUCGGUAAGGUUUUCGGGAAGAGCAUUGGUGUAGAAUUCACGCACGAGCUCAACUUUGAGGUCGGUGAUAGGUUGGAGCAGUCUUCCCCACCCUUGGUCAGUUAAAAGUUUCAGGAGGUCUUGGUAGGGUCCUUGAGGGCUUAUGUUAAAAACUUUCUCGGGGGUUAUAUUAUGUGGAUGAUUUCAGUUCUGGUAGAGCCCAUCAUAUGCGUCACAAUACUGAUACUAAGGAAAGGCAAAUAUGGCUAUGGCAUCAUCGGGCAUCUAUCCUUUGGUUAUAUGAAGUAUUUACUACUUGAUUUAUUUUCACAUGUACACGAUACAGAGCUAAAAUUUAAUACUUGUAUUUUAUCCAAAAAUCAUCGUGUAUCUUAUCCAAUUAGCUUGAAUAAAAGUAAUGUUCCUUUUUCAUUGGUCCACUCUGAUGUUUGGGGGCCUUCCCCAAUAGCUACUGUUUCUGCCAUUCGUUGGUUUGUGAUAUUUGUCGAUGAUUGUACUCGAAUGACUUGGUUAUAUACAUUGAGCCGUAAAGAUGAUGUCUUUAGUGUUUUUCAAACAUUCCAUGCAAUGAUUAAGACACAAUUUUCAGCUAAACUUCAGAUUCUUCGUUCUGACAAUGGUGGAGAAUAUAUCAACAAGGAUUUUCAAGCUUAUUUCCAACUUCAUGGACUUAUUCAUGAAACUUCUUGUGCUCAAACACCACAACAAAACGGGGCUGCAGAACAGAAGCACCGACAUAUCCUAGAAACAGCUCGUGCUCUCCUAAUUGGUGCUCAUAUGCCUCGUAGUUAUUGGACAGAUGCAAUAGCUACAGCUGUACAUUUGAUAAACUGAACAUGUUCCACUACCUACUGUUUUAAUGAUCCAUCCAUGAGUCUUUGGAUGUGUUGCCUUUGUUCAUCUACAUAAAAAUCAACGCACUAAACUUGAUCCUUGUACUGUUCGAUGUGUUUUUCUAGGAUAUGGCCCCCAUAAGAAGGGAUAUCGUUGUUACAAUCCAAUCACGAAACGGACCUACAUCACCAUGGAUGUCACAUUUGUGGAAUCUGAAUAUUUCUAUUCCUUUUCACCCAUAUCUAAUUCUCCUCUUCAAGGGGAGUUACAAGAUGAAGAGCAAAAUUGGGUAAAUUUGCCACCAUAUGAAGAUGACCCUAUACAUGAAGAAGUGAGGUUGGCUGUGCAUACUUUUGAAUCUGUUGAACCUGACCUUAUGAUGACUGAUGAAGAGCAGAGAAAAGUGAAUGAUUGUAGUGCGACACAAGUUGUUGAACUAGAAGCUGAAAUUGAAAAUAAGUCAAAUCAUCAACUCACUUCUUAGUACAUGAUGACCCAUCUCUUGAGAAUUGUCCUGAGGUAAAUAUUCCUACUCCAUAUCCUCGUAUAAAUGAUUUAGAUACAUCUGUCCGUUACAACUUACCUUUUAGACAGAGUCGUGGUAAGCCACCUAAGCGGUACUCCCUAGAUUUUGAGAAGAAAAUGUCAAAAUAUCCAAUUGCUAAUUAUGUAUCUACUCAUAAAUUAUCAGAACCUGUUAAAGCUUUUGUGCAUACUUUGUCCUCCUUCCAUGUUCCUAGUAGAAUACAAGAAGUCUUAACAGAUCCAAAGUGGGUACAAGCAAUUAAUGAGGAAAUGGAUUACUUACAAAAGAAUAAUACAUGAUGUCUAGUUUCAUUACCAAAAGGAAAAAAAACAUUAGGGUGCAUAUAGGUUUUCUCUAUUAAGCACAAAGCAGAUGGAUCCAUUAAAAGGUACAAGGCAAGGCUGGUGGCAAGGGGGUACACCCAAACAUAUGGUGUGGAUUAUAAAGAAACGUUCUCACCAGUAGCAAAACUAAACACUAUUCGUGUUUUGUUGUCAUUAGCAGCGAAUUUAGACUGGCCAUUGCAUCAAUUUGAUGUGAAAAAUGCAUUCCUUCAUGGAGAUAUCGAAGAAGAAGUCUAUAUGGAUAUUCCACCAGGGUACAACACAUCUUCAAAGGCUGAAGUAGUGUGUAAGUUGCAACGAGCAUUGUACGGGCAUGGUUCGGUCGAUUUAGUGCAGCUAUGAGAAUGUAUGGUUUUCAACAAAGUAAUUUUGACCAUACUCUAUUUUUGAAACACCGUUUGGGAAAGGUAACAGCCUUAAUAAUAUAUGUGGAUGGCAUGAUCAUUACAGGGGAUGAUAUGGAAGAAAUAUCAAGACUCCAAGAGCAAUUGGCAACUGAACUUGAGAUGAAAAAUCUUGGAGGACUUAGGUAGUCUACCUUGCACAACUUAGAUAGUGCCGCGAAACGUCUUAAAGAAAGCGACCUGAUCGUGACUCACCCCGGUAAUAGUUUCAAAGCUCUGUCAUAAUUUGAAAAUUACAAAAACAACACACCCUUUUCACAACAACCUCAAGUUUGGAAUUUGGUAUCACACCUUUGUAGACUCUACCAAAUCCACCAACUCCCAACAGCCCCUUUACCAUGAAACCCUUUGUGGCAAAGUAUAUAUCUUUGAACUUAAAUCUAUGUGGGCCAUAUUCAUGUUCCCAAUCUUCAAGAACCUUAGCAAACUUCUUCUGUUCGAUAUGAUACAUAAUCCUUAAAGCUAUUAUGAAUAGCAAACUUAGGAAAAUCAAAGGCAACCCAACAGUUAAAGUUUUUGACUCUUUUUUCUCAUUAAAUAUUCCUAGUUCAGUAGCAAAUAUUCUUAGCUCAGGAAGUUUAGAGAUUUCAAGGUUUUGAGCUUGGCCAUUAACCUUAAAACUCCAACCAAGAAUAUAAUGGGAAGCUACAAUUACCCCGGUUGAAGAUGAGAAUCCAACAUACAUUCUAUUGUUGAGAAUUGGAGAAAGAUCUUUCGUGAAUGAUAACAAAGGUCGUGCUGGUUUAACAACAUUACAACCAAAAUUAAUUGGAGCUAAUGUAACAUCAAUAUUUUUCUUCACUCCAUCAUAUUCUAUCCAUACCUGCAUAGGAUAUCCACUAGAAAGGGAUAAGUCGUUGAAUCGACCAAUAGCAUUAUAGUAUCCUGCAGGAGUUGAAUUAGCUGAUUUCAAAUUAUUGAUGUCAAUACCAGCAUGGUUAUUAUUGAUAUCAUCAAACUCAAGAUCUUGAAUAGUGUCAAGCUCAACAGCAAACACAUGGUUGCUAGUGUUUCCAAUGUUGGAAUCGUUAAAGGGACCAAGGUAUUGGUUUGGAAGUGAAUCUGGUAGCCCUUUUGAUAUUCAGAUUUUAUGGCAAAUAAAAAAGUAGUUGAGAAAGAAGACACAGUUUCACUAGAAGUGUUUUUGAAAACUAUAGGAUUUGGAUAGAAAGCAUGUGCUGUAUCUUGCCCGAUAUCAUUGGUGAGUCUUAGUAAGCCAGUUGAAGUUAACUCAGCAAUACCAUCAAGAUAUAAAUGUGAUGAUUGGAAUCCUUUAUAGAUGAAACCGUUGUCUUCACUUGCUACCAAUGUAACAAGCAAACAUAACAUAAAGACAAACUUGAGGAACAUGAUUUUAGUUUGUGAAUGAACAAUGCUUGUGUAGUUCUGUUCGGUGUUUGUUAUUUAUAAGAUUUUGUGCUAAGUGAAGGAAAAAUUGCAUGUCUAAUUUGGGUAAAUAAAAUAACCAUCACAUGGUUACUAAAAUUGCAUCCAACUCCUAUUAAGUAAUGUCUUGUUUAGUUUAGUGAAAAAAAUGUGUUACACAUUUGAACCACAAAUUUUCUUUCCAUCUGUAGUAGUGGGGGAAUGUUUUUCAACGUUUAUAUAUUCGAAGUCUUGAUGCAAAAUUGAAUAUGUGAAAUUAAAACAUUAAUGUUGUCUAAUUUCUUAAAAAGGUUAACGGUGUUUUGUUCCCUCUAAUAUAGGUUAUUUCUGGUUUACCAUCUUGCAAUUUUUUUUUUAAUCAUUUUUAUAAUUUGAAGAUUUUUUGGUUUUGGAUCUUCAUGGCUUCAAGUUACAAAAUUUAUGGUACUUUCGUCCAUGUAAUUUGAGCAAAUUUUGGUUUACCCCUGUAAUUGAGCAAAAUUUGGUUUAUCCUAUGUCAUAAUUUGUAAAGGUCCAAAACCAAAAAAAUCAAAUUACAAAGGUGGAAUCUAAAAAACAUAUUUUACAAGAUAGUAAAUUGAAAAUGAUUUAUAUUACAGGGAAUAAAACAUUAUUAGCCACUCUUAAAAUAAGUUUUUUUUUUUUUUGGUACAAUGAUAAGUAUUUUAAUUUCACAAUGAUAAUAAAUAUGUGUCACAUUUUUUAUGUUUAUUGAUGAUGAAUAUAUGUCCGGUGUUUUUUAUGUAUAAAUGAAAAUAUAUUUAUGGGUUUCAUAUCAUUGAUGAACCACAACCAUGGACGUCCUUUCAUAGCAUCUCUAACCAUAACAGGUCUUUCAAUAACAGAUUCAGCAGCCGAUAAAAAUGCAUAAUAAACAUGGUGCUGGAAACCCUCUCUCAAUAAAAAAAAAACCAGAGUUUGAUUCUUGGAGUCACCUAUUUAAAAGAUAAUCCAUUUUUGUAUAAAUUGAAGGAAUAUCUUGUUGCCUGCUAAAAAAAUAGCAUCAUAACAAGUUCAAAAGAUUUAAAGUUGUAAAGAUCACCCUGAACAUUAUAAUAAUAUAAUUUUUUGUAAGGUGGAUGAUGCACACUUUAAAAGAACUAAAUUAAUUUUUUGUUUAAAGUAAACGGAAGAAAAAAUAAAAGAUGAGCGAGAGCGUGAGAGUGGGAGAACGAGCGCGACCUGGUUGGGGUUUCCGACAAUCUUCACGCCGGUUUCUCUCACUGGUGAGGCGCUCUGGGGGGGAAGGGCCAUAUGUCGGGGAGGCAGAAACGGGGAGGGAACAAGGGGAUUGGAUCAGGGUGAGAAACAGAAGAAGGAAAGCAAUGGGACCGUUUCAGGACGGACGGAACGAACAGCAGCAAGGCAAUGGACAAGGAGGGAUGGUUUCUUCAUCGGAAUGCAGAGGUUAUCAGGAUUAUAGGUUUGGUUAUCGCAGUAGGUCAGCUAGAAGAGAAGGGUCACGGUUAACUCCUUCUAGGGUUAGGGUUUUGCAUGGGACUGUUCGCGGAAGGUCGAGGUCCUUACGUUACGGUCGCCCAUUCUCGUGCUCCAGAGAAGAUGUGCCUCGACAGCUGCAUAAUGUUCAUGGAGACAGCCUUAUGGAAUGGAAAGGGAUUAACAGAGGUGUUGAUUCGCGUUUAACAGUGCACAACAGUGGUAACAAUGGUACAACGUCUCAUGUAACGGCGGUGUUCUAUAUUACAAAUUUCCCGAAUCGCCUUUUGUUUGUUGAUUUGAAGAAAGGUUUGGAGGUAUGUGGUAUUUUAUCGGAUGUGUAUCUUUCUCGUUUCCGUAAUUUUCAUGGUCAGCGAUUUGGUUUUGCCAAUUUUUUGAAGGUUCGUGAUGUUUCUAAAUUGAAAAAGGCCCUUAACAAUGUUUUCUUUGGGGACCUUAGAAUGUUUGCGAAUGUGGAAAAAUAUGAUAGAUUUGUUGAUGCUUGUGAGGGUAGUGCUGGAGGAGAGGAGAGGGAUGGUGUUAAGAGGGUUGAGGGAGAAAAAAUGAAGGAGGCCGAGGGAGAAAAAAAUAAAGGAGUUAUGGUGGGAAAAAAUCGAGGGAGUGGGAGGGUGGUAAGGAUGAGUUAAGGGUUAGUUGGAAGUUGGCCUUAUAGAAGGUUAAAGUGGCAGCCAUACGCUGUGAGCUUGAGAGGGAGAAGGAGAGGGUGAUUAAGGUGGGGGAGGUUGAUUGUGGGGGGAAGUUGGCGGCGUCGAGGAAGGAGGAAGGUGCGAAGUUGGAGUCUCCUUCGACGAAGGAGGUUGCUAAACCGAUAUCUUGUGAGGUGGAGGGGAAGGCAUCCGUUAGUGGUAAUAUUGGUUCCGAGGUGAUUAGAGCUUAUUUACCGUAUCAUGAUGAUGUUAUGUGGGCUAACAGAUGUAUUUUGGCCAAGAUUAAGGAUGGUACGUCAUUCAUCGUAAUUCAACAAUCCUUUUUAGAUGCUGGUUUUUCUGAUUUCAAAUUAAUCUCUUUCGGUGGUGAUAAUGUUUUGUUGCACCCGUGUGUCGAAGGUGAUUGUAUGAAUUUAUUUAAAUCCGCGUCGGACCUGAUUGGGAAUUUCUUAUGUGACUGUCGUCCUUGGUCGAAAGAUGCAAGUGUAAUUUAUGAGCGUGGUGCCUGGGUGCGGUGUUAUGGUGUUCCUUUACAUGCUUGGAAUGAUAAUUUCUUUUUAGAGCUAGCCUCAUCUCGAGGAAGGUUACUUAAAAUUGAUGAUGCUACUAUGAAUAAAGAUCGUAUGGAUUUUGCACGUUUCUUGAUAGCAACUACUGAUUUGAACGAGUUAAAUUUUGUUGUUAAUUUUUUGAUUGACGAGCGGGAGUAUCCAAUUCGGCUUAUUGAGGAUUUGGAGUUUGGGUUUGCUGUUGAUGCUUGUUUAGCUGAAUAUGAAGAUGAUAACAAGUCUCAAUGUUCAGGUCCGGUUUGUUUGCAAGAAGAGGAGCCUCUAGUCGAUGCUUUAGUUCAACAAAUGCACGAUGACUGGUUACGCAAGUCUAAUGAGGUUAAGGUAGGGAAUAGUGACAUGGAUAUUUCUAAAUCUGUUAAUGUGAAGGAUGAAUGCUUCGAUGCUAAGAAGAUUUUGUGUUCUCCUCAUACCUCUUUGAUUAAUGUCGAGAAAGCUCCUAUGAAGGUCGUUGAUCAUAUUCGUAAGCCAAGUAAGAAGGGUAGGGUAACGAAAAGGCACAAAGUGGUACCAUCAUUGAUUGGGUUGAAAAAGAUUGCUCGUCUAGCAGAGACCGAUAGGUGUGCCUUGAUUAGAUCGCUGAAAAAAUAUAGAGGUUCGAAAAGAAAAUUGAGGAAGAGUGCUUCUUCUAAAACUUCUUCCAGUACAUCGUCUUGUAACAAAAAUGGUGUAUCUUUGUCAGCGGGUUCAGGAUCUUCAGGUGAUUCCAAAGAUUGGAAAAAUUGGGUAGUCCUUCAUGGGGAAGCAAAGGGGAUGGAGGAUGACGUGGUAGAAGUGGGUAAGUCUAUAGGUGUACGGUGUAAAAAUAAUUUUCAGGCACUAUCUAGAGGAAGUGUGCGUGGAGGUUUCGUAGUUGGUGGGGAGGGGAGGGGGUUGGAGGUGAGGAAGAUGACGGAGGUUUAGGGUGUGUGGGGUCGGUGUGGGGUGUUUUGGUGUGGGAGUUAGUUAUGAAGAUUGUUUCUUUAAAUAUUAGGGGUCUAGGGGCGGUUGAGAAGAGGAGGGAGAUUCGGAGGUUGGUGUUAGAGAGAAAAUCGGCGGUGUUAUGUAUUCAAGAGUCGAAGUUGGAGGUGGUGGAUGAGUUUUUGUGUCGCUCCUUAUGGGGGGCUGAUUUGAUGGCUUAUUCCUUUAAAGCUUCAGUCGGUGCUUCUGGAGGUAUUAUUACGGUGUGGGAUCCUUCUGUGUUGGAUGUCUGGUUGUCAGUAAAUAUUGAUAAUUGUUUGAUUGUUAAAGGCUCCUUUGUAACAAAUAAUGAGGUGUUCUGUUUGGCGAAUAUUUAUGCUUCUUGUGAUAGUAGGGGGCGACAGGUGUUGUGGGAUUCUUUGUCUAAUUUGUUUCCUUUACAUGGGGAAGCGGCUUGGUGUGUUCUUGGUGAUUUUAAUGGUGUUCGUUCUAGUGCUGAAAGAAGAGGUCGCGUGGAGAAUUAUAGUUAUGCCAAUUACAUUCCUUUUAAUCAGUUUAUUGAUGGCAAUUGUCUUAUUGAUUUACCGUUGGUUGGUCACAAUUUUACUUGGUACCGGGGAGAUGGUGUGGCUAUGAGUCGUCUUGAUCGUUUUCUUUUAUCAGAAGCUUGGAUUUCAUUGUUUCCUAAUUGUAUCCAAGCUGCUCUUCCUAGAAGUUUAUCGGAUCAUUGUCCUAUUAUUCUAACUAUGGAUGAGGAAAAUUGGGGGCCUAAACCCCUUCGCAUGUUAAAGUGUUGGGCAGAUGUUCAAGGCUAUGUUGACUUUGUUAAAGAAAAAUGGCAGUCUUAUCAAGUGCAAGGGUGGAGUGGCUUCAUUCUGAAAGAGAAACUUAAAUUUUUGAAAGCUAGUUUACAGAGUUGGCAUUUGAAUCACACUUGUAACAUUGAUAGUAAGAUUAAGGGUGCUAAGGAUCGGUUGGCGGUUUUGGAUGCUGUGGGGGAGACUAGCACGUUGGGUGCUCAAGAGGUGGAAGAGCUUCACUUGUUAGCGGUCGACAUUAUGGUUUUUUCAAAACUUCAGGCUAGUAUGCAUUGGCAAAAAUCAAGAGUUAAUUGGUUGAAGGAAGGUGAUGGUAAUUCCAAAUUUUUCCCUGGCAUUAUGUCCUCACGGAAGAGAUCUAAUUCUUUAAUUUCUUUGUCUGUUGAUGGUGUCACUAUUGAAGGCGUGGAACCUGUGCGCCAAACAGUUUUUCAACACUUUCAAAAUCAUUUUAAGAGGUCUCAACAUGAGCGACCGGACAUAGGAGGUUUGUUGUUCAAGUCUUUAUCACCAGUGGAGGGAGCUGAUCUUAUUAAGCCCUUUUUGUUAGAAGAAAUUAAAGCAGCCGUGUGGGAUUGCGAUAACUUUAAAUGCCCCGGACCAGAUGGUGUUAAUUUGGGUUUCUUCAAAGACUUUUGGGAGGUUUUGAAGAUUGAUGUGCUGAAUUUUUUUGCGGAGUUUCAUCGCAAUGGUAAGUUAACUAAAGGUCUUAAUUCCACUUUUAUUACUUUAAUUCCUAAGGUGGAAUCUCCUCAGCGUGUGGCUGAUUUUAGGCCAAUAUCUUUGGUGAGUAGUGUGUACAAAAUUUUAUCAAAGGUAUUGGCUAAUCGUUUGAGAAGGGUGAUAGGUAAUGUGGUAUCUGAUUCUCAGUCUGCGUUUAUUAAGGGUAGACAAAUUCUUGAUGGUAUUUUGAUUGCAAAUGAAUUAGUCGAUGAUGCAAAGGUCAAAAAGAAAAAGUUACUCAUGUUUAAAGUGGAUUUUGAAAAAGCUUAUGAUUCUGAUGAUUGGGGCUACAUUGAUGAGGUUAUGAUUAAGAUGAAUUUUCCGUGUGUUUGGCGGUCUUGGAUUAUGGAAUGUAUUACAACGGCGACGACAUCUGUGUUAGUUAAUGGGUGCCCGACUGAUGAGUUUAAUCUUGAAAGGGGUCUCCGUCAAGGGGAUCCGCUUUCUCCGUUUUUGUUCCUUUUAGCAGCUGAAGGUUUAAAUGUGAUGAUGUCUGCGUUGGUAACGACUGGGUUGUUCACUCCAUAUGCUAUUGGGGCGCAAGCUAAUGUGAUGGUUUCUCACUUGCAGUUUGCAGAUGAUACUUUAACUAGUAGGAGUUAAGUCUUGGGCAAAUGUCCGGGCUUUGAAGUCUGUUAUGUUAUUAUUUGAAUCUAUAUCCGGGUUGAAGGUUAAUUUCCAUAAGAGUAUGCUUUUUGGCGUGAAUGUAAAUGAUUAUUGGCUUCAUGAGGCAACUGUGGUUAUGCAUUGUAAACACGGACGGAUUCCGUUUCUUUAUUUAGGUUUGCCUAUUGGUGGUGAUCCACGGAAACUUCAAUUUUGGCAGCCCCUUGUUGAGAGGAUUCGUAAUCGUUUAUCUGGGUAGAAAUGUAAGAAUUUAUCUAUGGGUGGUCGGUUGAUUUUACUUAAGUCCGUUCUGUCGUCCAUUCCGGUUUAUUUUCUUUCCUUUUUCAAAGCUCCCUCAUGUAUAAUUUCUACUCUUGACUCUUUAUUUAUUAAUUUCUUUUGGGGUGGUAGUGAGGAUGUGAGGAAAUUGUCUUGGAUUAAAUGAGAUACUGUUUGUUUGAAAAGGGAGAAUGUUGGUUUGGGGGUGAAACGGUUGAAGGAAUUUAAUAUUUCUUUAUUGGGAAAAUGGGUGUGGAGAGUGUUGGAGGAUGGGGAGAGUCUGUGGAAGGCGGUGUUAACUGCGAAGUAUGGAGAGGUUGGAGGGAGGGUGCGGUUUUGUGAGGGGGUGGGAUCGGUUUGGUGGCGUCAUAUAAACCAAAUUCGAUUAGGUGUGGGGCUGUUGGAUUCUAGGUGGUUGGUGGACAAUAUUAUGCGGAAGGUGGGAGAUGGGUGUCACACUCUUUUUUGGGAGGAUACGUGGUUGGAUGAUGUUCCGUUAGCUGUGUCUUUUCCUAGGCUUUUUGAGUUGUCUAAUUUUAAAUUGUCUACGGUGAGGGAGAUGUUUAUGUUAGGUUGGGGGGCUGAAGGGGGUGCGUGGCAGUGGAGGCGUAGAUUAUUUGCGUGGGAGGAAGGUUUGGUGGGGGAAUGUGUGGGGCGGUUGGCUAACUUUGCUUUGCAGGUUGAUGUUUCUAAUAGGUGGGUGUGGAAACUUCACUCGACAAAAUGCUAUUCGGUGUAAUCGGCUUAUUCGUAUUUGACGGAGGUGGAUUCUAACAUUGUUGAAGAUUUCAAUCAAUUUUUAUGGUUGAAAGCAGUUCCGUUGAAGGUUAACAUUUUUGUUUGGCGUCUCUUUCUGAAUAGACUUGCUACAAAAGAUAAUUUGCGUAAAAGAAAUGUAAUUGAUCCCACUCUUACUGCUUGCGCGAUGUUGUGUGGUAAGGAAGAGGAAAGGGAUCAUCUGUUUUUCACUUGUGAUCAUUAUGGGCGACUUUGGCUUUUAAUUUCUCAGUGGCUUGGUAUCGUUACAGCUCUGAAUGGUAAUUUAUACUCUCAUGCUACUCAAUUUUGUGGUCUUGGAGGUUUCUCAAAAAAGUCUAGGACAAGUUUUAGAGUUAUCUGGAUUUCAGUUUUAUUCGUCAUUUGGAAAGAUAGAAACAUGAGAAUUUUUCAGAAUCAUUCUGAUCAUCUUGAAGCUCUUCUUGAAAGGAUUAAACUUCAAACGUUUUGGUGGCUGAAAGCGAAUUACAUUAUGUUUGAUUUUGACUACCCAUUUUGGAGGAACAAUCUUUUACUUUGUAUUCAGACUAUGCUAUAAUGUCUGUUUCUGUUUCUGUUUAUUUGACUGUCUAUCGCCUGUCUCUUUUGUAAUUAACAUUUUUCGGCUUUCUUAGGCAUAUCUUGUGCUUGAAGGGCUGAUUGUUUCUUUAAUAUAUUUUGCUUAGUUUUUUAAAAAAAAAUAAAAUUUGUUUAAAGUAUUGUUUUCGUUGGUGACGUCCUCCUAUCUUAUUUUGCUUAUAUUUAGAGUUUUAGAUGUAUAAUGAACAAGAUCUCUGAUUUAUUAAAAAACUUACUCUACAAAUCUUGAUUUAAACUCAAGUUUGGUGUCUUCUAUGAAAGUAAGUCUUAUGUGACCAUAAACAUUUCGCCACAUUAUUUAAUUAGCUUAGUUUAAGUAUUAGCAAACUAGUAAAUUAGCUUAGUUUAAGCAUUAGUUUUACUUUAAGUCAUAAAGCAUUCCUAAAUUAUAACUAAGUCUUAGUUUUAUUUAAGUCAUUUUCCUCUUUAAGCCUUGAUGGUUGUAUUUAAAAAAGACGUUUCAACACUUUCAAUACUUUCUUAAAAAAAAAAUACUCAUUCAAUACUAUAUAUGAUUUUUAUUUGGGUUAAAUAUGUUUUUGGUUUCUAUAAAUAUAUCAAGUUUUCAUUUUAGUUCCGCUAAAAGUUUCCUUCAACUUUUAGUCCCUAUAAAAUUAUCAAUCACUACUUUUGGUCCUUAUUUUCAAGUUAUUUUUUGUAUUUUUUUACCGAAAUGUGUAGAAUAUUGUAAAAAAAAUUCCCCCAAAAAAUUAGAAUUUUUUAACAAUACAUAAAUUAAAUAUGAAUUUUUAACCGUCAAAAAUAUAAAAAUUCAUAUUAAAUUUAUGUUUUUUUAAAAAAAAAUCUAUUUUUUUAAGAGAUUUUUAUAAUAUUAUAAAUUUUUCUGCUAAAUUUUAUACAAAAUUAUGAAUUUUACUUUAAAAGAGAUUAAAAGUGAAGAUUGAAAAUUUUUUAGGAACUAAAAGUUGAAGGAAAAUUAUAUAGAAUUAUAGAGACUAAAAUUUUUUUAGGGACUAAAAGUUAGUAUAUUUAUAGGGACCAAAAACAUAUUUAACAUUUUUUAUUUUAUAUAUACUUAUAUUUUAAAUCAUUAGAAUUCUACUAUUGAAACUUGAAUUUUAUCAAUCAAUUCCUUCUCAAAAUCAUAUUUUUUUACCGUCUCAUUUAGUAUCAUGAGCCUUCCACCUUGUGUGAUUAUGGCUGCUAAAUACAAACUAAUGAAAACUUUAAUGGUUUUGAAGAAAAGAUGGAAAUGGGUUUAUGUUUUGUGAUCAACAUCUUACUUUGAUGAUAAUCAAUUAAAGCAUAAGAACGUUAAGAUAGUCAUGAGGGAUACCCAUGAAGACAACGUCGAACCUGAAGAAUUCAAAGAUGAACGUUCAUGGAACACGAAAGUGAUGAAUAUGAAUGAAGACGAAGUUUAACUAGAAAGUGAUGGUCUCGAGCACCAUGCGAGUGACCUUUCAGCAGCACGCAACAAUGGAUUGUCACAACCAGAAGAAUACCUUCCAUUGAUUCUUGACCACCAAAGCACAUAAGACCUUCCAGUGAUGGUUUCCAAUGUCGCUAACCGUCCUCCAGCUGUUCGAUGAAAUGCCAAAGUGUCAUAUAGCUGUUUGGAAUGUUAUCAGUAGCUGGUACAUUAUUAAUGAGAUGGAAAAUGUUACUUUUGAUUUGUCUAAAUGCCUAAUUUUCAUAUGUAUUGCUCCUGGUCUAUGAAACACGGACACAACACCGACACUGACACGCCGACACCACUAAUAAUAUGAGAAAAUCACAUAAUUCAGUGUAAUUAUAUGUGUCAGUAUCAAACACAACACAACACGUGUCAGACACCGGGACACACAUAAUCCGAGGAGUGUCCAUGCUUCAUUGCUCUUGGUCAUUACACCCAUAUUCAACAUAUUGCUUUUGCGCUCUUUGGUGUUUUUAAAUUUUGGAAGGCAUGAUCAUGUUGUGGUAAAUUCUCCUGUCAUUAUAUCUUUAUUGAUGAAUGGUAAGUCUGCUCAAAGAGACUUACGUAAAAAUCUCUUGGUGAAGGAGAUUUGGUUGUCCAUCAAUAUCAUUUUAAUCUCUUGCUUUUGGUAUGAACAUUUCCUUAAUUGGGGAAUAAGAAAAUUGUUUGGAAAGACAGCUUGAUCACACUUUCAUGAAGAGGGUAUUGUCACUUCAACGGUGCACGAUGGAAGCACAAUCCUUCACUUUUUCCUUAUUCCCUAUAAUGGAUGCGUGGUCCUUUAGAUGUUUUUGGUGGUGGAAGGGAUUAAUGCCAAUACACUUUUCACUUUCUCUACGAAUGUUGCAACAAUACUUGUGGAAGAAGUCUUGUCUGCAUCUAUGAAAAAAUUUGUUGGAAACAUGGUUGUUGUGUUAAUGCAUCUUGAGAUUUAUUCCUUGAUGAAGCGGGAUCUGAAUAUAAAAUGUAUUUUCCAGUAUCAUGAACAACGCUAUGACGUUUGUUUCAGAAUUAAAGGCUGUGAAAUUCUGAUCUAAAAGUUCUGCCAGGAUAAUAAAAAAUUGGCAAAAUCCAAAUGCAUGUUCCAUUAAUCUUGUGUUGAGCAUUUGUUUUAUCAUUUUAGCCACAAGUCAUGUAAAACAAACACCUUGUUACAUGCUACAAAAUGGAUCAGAUUCACACAUCUCUACUAUUUUGAAACUGCACUGUUGUGAGGCACUGCUAAUCUCCCUUGGAAUCAAACCAGACCAAGCUGCCUGUGCCGAAGUUCAAAGUGUAGGUUUUAUUUCUGAUGUUGCACUAAAUUUGAACAUGCUGGUGAAAAAUUAUGGACUUGUGAUGCUUGGGAAUAAAAAUUUAUGCAUAGUUGAUAAGUUUGACCAUGAUGGAUAUAUGGAUGUGGCAGAAAGAGUAAUUCAAAUUUAUGUACAAUGGUCAAAUAAAUAUAUGUGCAGCAGCCCCCUUUAACUUGGGAUAUUUUGCUAAUCUUUCAAGAAACAAAGUUGGUAGCUGUGUUACAUAGGAAAGUGGUUGAUAGGGGAACUAUUGUUGUUUCUCAAAUUAUGUUCAAAUGGAGGAAUUUGCCUCCUAAGCAUGAUACUUGAAUUUUUGCUGCUAAUAUUGACCCUGUUAUGGCUAUUCUUACAUCGGAAAAUGAUCAAUUGGAAGUGUCUCUGCUCUUAAAGUUCUAAUCAAAUGGAAAACUUUGCCUCUUAAACAUGGCACUUGUGAUUAUUCAUCCUUGAGGACGAGGAUGUUUGAAGGGGAGGGUAUUGUUACAGGAAUGAAGUAUUAGUGAGUUAACUUAUUCUAAGUAUUUGUUUUACUUUAAAUCAUUUACUCUUUUAGCCUUGAUGGUUGUAUUUAAGAAGGCAUUGUGCCUCAUUUGGUAAUCAAUCAAAUAUUUCAACAAUUAUCUUCUUCUCUCUAAAACCCUAAAACUCAUUCAAU
rnacentral:lncRNA from 1 species